UAAUUGGUUUACUUCUCAGCUGGGGUUUAGUUUAUUUGUUCCUUGAGAGAGAUUUUUAAGUGAAUUAAGCUUGUAGAGACUUAAAGAAGUUUAAAGAAGCUUGUUGGCAGCCUAUAUCCACAUGUUGAUGGAUUUUUGGGAUGAAACCUGUAAUAGAAUGGUUAAGUGACCCUGAAUUGAGUAUGUUCUCAUUCUAAAGAAGCUUGAACCAUGAAGUUUAGGCUCUAAAGUUUGUGGAUGAAACCUAGAAACCUAGAAACUAUGCUAAGGAAAGCUUGUAUAUGUGUGAAUACAUGUGAAGGAAUGAUUCGAAUGAAAAUCUGAGAUGAAUUGAUCCUAAACCUAGUUAGAAUGAUAUCCCUCACUGUGGAGAAGUAGUGAACAAGGAAUUUUUAAAGUGCUAAGACCAUAAGUGCCUUAAACCCUAUAUAAAAAUUAACUCUAUACUAUAUAUAUAUAUGCAUGUAUGUAUAUAAAUGUAUUAUGAGUUGUUGUUGGUGAUAAAGUUUGAGGUGGAGUGACUUUACUAUCUACUUAAGAAUGAUGUUGUUGCUAUGUAAAGAAGUUAAAUUAUGGAUCAGUUAGCUUCUAAAGGUUGAGGUGGUCAUGGAUAAACCUAUAAAAGCUAUAGAUGGACCUAUAGUAAACUAUAAGUUAUAUAGUUGAUAUGUGAGCUAUUGUUUAGAGUAAAGUGGAACUUGUGGCAGGAAUUGUAAUAGUAAAGAUUGAUGUUUACUACCUAAAAGGGGUUAAUUAUGAGUUGUUCUAGUUUUCGAAAUCCUAAACUGCCAUAAGAAACUUAAUAGAAAGACUAUGUAUAUGUAUAUGUUGAUAUUAUAUGCAUAUAUGCAAGUUGGAGUUGACAUGCAAAGUUGUAAAAAUAUGAAUAUGACUUAAGUUUAAUCCCUUUUAUUCCUCUAUGAAGGAAAGUUUGACAUGCUCGGAAGCUUGGGUUGAUAUUCCGACGGACCUACGACGUGCAAAUUAAGAAACGCUUCGUUCUACCUGUUUGGCAUCGAGUCGCGGGGGCUUGGUGUUUACAUGUUUCGAGACAUUGGGCUUAGCUUUUAGGCAUCCCUACAAGGUGGGUGGUGCUAUCCGAAGUCUUUGAAUCACCUUUUAUGUCUAUGAUUUUCCAUUGAGCAUAUUACUUGUAUUCAUGCAUCAUAGGGUAGUGAUAUUAUGCAAGUGAUAGUUGAAUAUGUGAAUGUUUAUCAAUGUUGAGAAAAUGUGAACUUAGAAUGUGGACAUAGAACCCUAUGAAUGUAUGGACUAUAGCAAUAGUAAACUUGGUGACAUUCAACUAGAGAUUUGGUUAGCAUCGAGAAAUGGAAUUGUGAAACUAGUAUAAAGAACUAGUUAGAGUAAAGUGUGACAGUGUUUGUCAGUUGAAUCCUCUAAAGGGGAUCAGAUCAUACUCACAUUUGUUUGGUUCAAGUGAGGUCGCUCCUCCUUGAACGAUGAGCUCCGGAGUAGUCAUCUUUACUGGACCAGGAGGUGCGUCUCCCCCAGUUGACGGUCCCAUCGGGUGCAGGUGCGUCUCCCCGAUAUUUGGGAUAGCGUCAGUGAGUAAUUGUUAACCAAAGGGUUAACCAAAAGAUUGGGUAAAUUCAGUAAAAAGCAUGCAUGCAUAUUUACAGUUUUCAUAUAUUACUUCUUUCAGCUUUGUACAGGCAUUGUAGUAGUUACAUGUUAUAGUUGGUUACUAUCUGUUUACUUCUUUUGCCUACAUAUGCCUGAAUAGACCUAGUGGGUGAGUCGGCGAGGUCGGCGGCCGAACCCACUGGGAACUUUUAGUAGUUCUCAUACCACUAACCAUACAGGUUCCAGUGCGAGCGAUGUGGCCGAGGAUCGCGGCAAGAGCCCAGCAGCCUAGCUAGUGGACACCCGAGUUCUAGUGGUAUACCAUUUUCGGUUCAUGUGAAACAUUUUUGAUAUACAGAGACUUGUAAAUGAAUGUAUAAAAGAACAUGUAAAUAACUAAAUGUUUCAGUUAUUCAGUUAUGUAUAGUUCAGUUUUAAAAGUUUUAAAUUACAGUGAAUUUUAUGUAUAGUUAGUUACUUUCACUUGUGCUUGUUGCUUGCCCUCGUGCAAGCCAUGUAUAUUGAAAUAUUCUCCUGGAAUUAUUUAUUUCCUUAUACAUGUACUCGUUGUUGUUGAGCCUUGGGCGGACAGGGGAGGUUCUGUCCGUUCGGCGUCUGUGUACGGACUCGGAUCGACCAAAUUGGCGAUAGCGGGACGUGACAUAUUUAGAUGCAAUUGGUGGGAUGUAUAUGAUAAAGUGAAAGGAAUUAAAAUAGAUGAAUAUGGAUUUGUCAGUGUUAAUUGUCAACGCUUGCUGAAAACAAAUGAGCCUUUUGUAUUAGCUACUCAAGCAUCACAAGUUUUUUAUGUUACAGAUAGUAUUACAAAAGGUUGGCAUGUUGUAACAUACCGAAACCUUGGUAAGUAAAUUCGAACCUUGGUCAAAUUGAUCAAAGUGCGAGGUUGGUACACUUCGGAGAGGCCGAAGGCGUCAAAUAAUGCAAAAUGCAUUACUGGGGAUCUUCGAGAACUUUUGAAAAUCAAAAUCUCCAAACUGCAGGUUUUGUGCUCUCGGGGACCGGUCCCUGGUGGGAGAGACCGGUCCCUGAACGCGUAGGCAGCGAGAAGGCUGAGAAAUCGGCUAAGUCCUGAAAAAUCAGCUCUCGGGAACCGGUCCCUGCGAGGAGAGACCGGUCCCCAGAGACCGGUUCCAUCAGGGGGAGACCGGUUGCAUCGCGCGCAGCCUGCGCAGUCCGCGGGAGAAGCUCUCGGGGACCGGUCCCAGGUCGGGGAGACUGGUCCCUGACUGCGGAAAAUGCCGAGUCUGGACAGUGCACAAAGAAAGAGUUGGAGGGCUUAGUUGCAAAUGUUGCAACAUGUUAUAUGGCCCAUUCCCUUUCCCCUCUUCACAGCAAACACACUCCCCUCUCUCCCUCUCAUUUUCUCUCCUUUCUUUCUCUAGAAAGCAAGUCCUAGAGCUUGGAGAAGGUGGAGAAAAGCUUGGAGAAGGUGGAUUUUGGAGAUUUGGUGGUUCUAGAAGCUCUCCAACAAGAAGGAGCUUGCUAGAACUUGGGCCAAGAUAAGUUUUUAGCAUGUAGAGCUCUAGGGUUUGGAUUUUAACCUUAGAUUUUGAGUUUUGAUCUCUCUACAAGUGAGGAAACCCUCUAGAGACCUUGAAACCAUGAAAUCCAUGGUUGUCUUGAACUCCUCUCAUGGUGAACUUCCAGGGUUCAUCUUGGAUGCCCUAGAAAUAGCCUAGUUGGCCUUAGGUGAGCUCCUGGAGGUUAAACAAGCUCUCUUUUACUUGUUUUAGAUAUCAAAACCUAGGGUUUAGCAAUGGGUUUGGUUAGGGCACCAAAUUUAGGACUUUUGCCCCCGAGUGUUUCUAAGACAAAUUGACCUUAUAGAAACCUAAUUGGGGGUGUCCCCGACACGUUGGACAACUCCGUUCGACGUUACAAAAAUGUUUAAAUAUGGUUCAUGUACAAAAGGCCUAAAGUGGCACUAUUUUGGUUGUAGGUCGCGGUAUCGGUUUUCGUAAAGUUCGGGAGUCGUCAUAUUCUGCUCCCACACGACCACUCGAGGUGGGUGGUGCAUUCCAACGACUUCGAAAAUCCCUUUAUGUCUAAAGUGUCAUAUUUGAGCAUAUGUAUAUAUAUUGAGCAUGUUGCAUAAUAGGGUUAAUUGUGAGCUUUUUAUGGCAUGAUUAUGAGUUGAAAUGCAUGUGAAUAACUUGUAAAAAAAUGUGCGAAUUUGUAAACCCUAUAUAUGCAUGAUAAGUGACAAGAACCUAGAAGGGUUAGUGAACAAAAGUGACACAUGGACAUAGAUCUAGUGAGUGAUAUUGAUGAGUCUAGAACACCUAGAAAAACAAGUGUGGCAUUUGGCAUGAGAACAAGAACAUAACACUUAGAAAACAAGUGUGGCAUGAGUGCAAAAAUUUUGUAGUGCAUAUGACACUAGUGCUAGUAAAGAAUGAAAAAGAAAAGAAUAAUUGAAACAUUAUGACAUUUCAACCUUAGAGUUAAGGGUUAUUGAGCAUGGUCUUCCUUAAAGUUAAGGAAUGGAUUGAACUUGGAAUCCUCAAUGUAGGAUUGAUCGUACUCACCUUUAGUCCUUGCUCGAGGGUGGUAGCUCCCCCUCGGGCGAUGUGCUCCGGAGUCGACAUCACUGGGUCGUAGCGGGUAUCUCCGCAGAGGACGGUCCUAUCGGGUUGUAGCAGGUAUCUCCCUGGUUAAAUAGGAUUUUGGGUUGGUGAGUUUGUUGAGGGCGAAACCUACGGGGUAGCCAAGAGAUUGGGUAAAGAAAUUAUAAUCUUGCAUUCAUCAUGAGCAUUAUAUCGAGCAUCGCAUUUUAUAUUGUUCAGGCAUAUUAGUUGCAUUUAUUAGUUGGUUACUUUCUUUUCCCUAUUCUAUUAUGCCUGAUUAGACCUAGUGGGAUAGUCGGCGUGGUUAGUUGACGAACCUACUGAAAAUUUUGUUGUAGUUCUCGCACCCCUAUUUCCACAGAGCCGAGACCGAGCCAGGCGGCUGACGACCGCUGUAAGGGCAUCACGCCCUAGGUAGAGACCGCCCGAGAUGUUCUAUUUCAUAGUUGCAUACCCUUUGAUAUAUCAUCUUUUGUAUUUGAUGAUUUUAGUAUCAAGAACAUGUUUAAAUGAAUGAUGUAAAGAAUAUUUAUUUUAAAUGUCAAAAGUUAUAUUUUGGGAGAAAUGAAAUGUAAAAAGAAAUGAUGCAAUAAUUGUACUCGAUUUCCUAAGUGUAGUUAUUUACUUUCACUAUUGGCUAUGGCUUGCCCACGUGCAAGCCAUUGUGUAUGCUUCCGCUUAUGCAAACUUUAUACUCUAUUGAUACUUGUUGUUGAGCCUUGGGCGGACAGGGGAGGCUCUGUCCGUUCGGCGUCUGUUCGACGCUCUCGAACCGGCCAAAAGGAUCGGGCUCGAGGCGUGACAGAUAAGAUGGUAUCAGAGCGUAAAGAGCCUAAAAGUGAAAGUAUAGGAUGGACCUAAAGACCCUUAGGAAUGGAAAACCUUAAGGAUCUAGGAAACGUGAGUGACGUUGAACGAGUUAUAGCGAAGGCAUGAUUGUAUUGAGGUAAUUGUGUCUCUAAUGUGGUUAGGGACUAAACUUAAAUUGUUAUUUGUUUUCUACUCUUUGUGUUGUGAUCGGCGGCCGACGACAUGACGCUUUGGAAUGAAAAUAAAUACACUUAUAUGCUUUCGCCGGAUUGGGUAUAAUCGAGUAAGUUGUCUAAGUGACUAACGUGAGUUGCUUCUUUUCAGGAAGCAAUGCCGCCUCGUGGACGACCUAAGUUGCCUCGUGGUCGACCGCGGACGAGCUCUAUGGCCGAGGAGUUAAGUACGGCUCCCGUGCAACUGGGAGCAGGUGGUGACGGGGAGCUUCGGGAGCAGAUGGCCAUGCUUAUUGGCGUAGUGCGGCAGCAGGCGGAAUCCGUUCAAUGCCAAGGGGAGCAAAUCCAAAGACUGCAGGAGGCCUUAGAGCGAUAGCAGGCGGCGGCGGCGCCCGUGGAGGCCGUGCACCCUGCGCCUCCUGCAGUGGUGCCGAGUACGGCCGAGGGUGUGGCCGCGGCAGCCGUGCCAGUUACAAUCGUGCCGGCUAGUUUGGGGACCUCAAACCCCGAUAGUGUGGCAGAGGAGGCGGAGCGGGAGCGCGCGUUGGCGGCUCUAAUUCAAUUUCAGAAGUUCAACCCACCUACCUUCGAAGGGGGAGUGGUGGAACCGGCGGUGGUGGAGUCCUGGAUCGACUCCAUGGAGACACUUUUCGACGACUUUAACACCUUGGAGAAGGACAAGGUGUACCUCGCCACACAUUGCCUCGAGAAGGUAGCGAAGGUGUGGUAGAAACGUGUUAGGCGGGACCGAUCACCCGAUCUUCCGCCUAUGUUGUGGGAGGAGUUUCGGAGAGCGGUGUUCGCCAACUACUUCCCCGAUACGGUAAAGCGGAAGUUGCAAGAGAAAUUCUGCAAGUUGAGGCAAGGGGAUUGCUCGGUGGCAGACUACGAGCAGGAGUUCUCCCACCUCAUUGACUGCGUCCCGGAUGUUGUUAGGGAUGACCGAGACCGAGCAGACUGGUUCCUACGAGGAUUGCGGCCGGGGAUCCAUAGGGCCGUGCAAAUCCUUAAGCUCACGACCUUUGCAGAGGUCUUUGAUCGGGCUUUGUGGGCGGAGCAUGGCUAUGCCCACGAACGCGAGGAGCGCGAGUUCGCAGCCGAGGCAAAGGAGAAGAGCAAGAAGCGGACAACGGGUGACACCGAGGGCCGGCCGAAUGCUAAGAAACCCCCUCGGUAUCCCCGACAGCAGUCAAGAGAUUGGAGGCCAUCUCGUUGUGUUAUUUGCGGCGGCAACCAUCAACCGCCGUCAUUCCCGCAGCGGGAUGGGAAAUGCUUCAAGUGUGGCCAACCUGGGCAUGUGUCGCGAGAGUGCCCUAGUUGGGGUUCAUCUGCACCGACCUCGGCAUCAGUUCCUUAUACCCUGAGACAGCAGGCGGGAUUACCGCUGGCUAUGUCAGCUGGACGCUCGUCUUCAUCGCGUCAACCGGAGGCAUCGAGAGCACCGAGUGGACGGGUUUUUGCCACUCAGGUGGAGGAGGAGCCGAUUCCUAUUUCCGACGACAUCGUGGCAGGUAUUAUCUCGAUCAGAGGCACUAGAGCUAGAGCUUUAUUCGACACUGGUGCAUCGCAUUCAUUCAUAGAUGCAUCAUUCGCUAGGACUCAUGGCAUUAAGAUUGUGCAACAUUACGACUAUUGGACGGUGAAUUCGGUCGAGCAUACUUUCCAUGUUCACGAAGAGUGUGUAGCGUGCCCAGUGCAGAUAGGUGAUUGGGUCAUGCCGAUCGACCUGUUAGUGUUGAAUCGAAUGUGGGAUUUCGACGUGAUCUUGGGGAUCAACUAGCUCUCCAAGUAUUAUGCCGUGAUAGAUUGCGAAAGUAAGGUGAUCACGUUCCGUGAGCCUAAUCGAGAGGAGCUAGUAUAUCAGGUGUCAAAAAGCUCGCUCUUCGCGGCGACCGUGUCGGCGGGACGGGCGAGGAAAAUGAUAAGAGGUGGUUGUGAAGCCUAUUUAGCGACCGUGGUAGAAGCCCCGAAGGAGCGCCCGGAACUUAGUGGUAUUCGGGUGGCGUGUGAAUUUCCGGAUGUAUUUUCGGCGGAGCUACCGGGUUUGCCACCGGAUCGAAAGAUCGAGUUCGUUAUUGACUUGGUACCCGGGGCGGCUCCAAUUUCGAAGGCUCCGUAUAGAAUGGCACCGGCAGAGCUAAAGGAGCUCAAGGCGCAGUUGCAAGACUUGCUCGACAAAGGCUUUGUGAGGCCGAGCGCGUCACCCUGGGGAGCUCCGGUGCUAUUCGUUAAGAAGAAGGACGGCACAUUUCGACUCUACGUGGACCCUGGGGAGCUCCGGUGCUAUUCGUUAAGAAGAAGGACGGCACACUUCGACUCUGCGUGGAUUACCGCGAGUUGAACAAGGUUACUGUGAAGAAUAAGUACAAGUUGUCGAGGAUUGAUGACUUAUUUGAUCAGUUGCAAGGGUCGAGAGUAUAUUCAAAGAUCGAUCUUCAAUCGAGAUAUCAUCAGUUGAAGAUACGGCCCGAGGAUGUGCACAAGAUGGCGUACCGUACGCGGUAUGGCCAUUAUGAGUUCACGGUGAUGCCGUUUGGGCUUACUAACGCCCCGGCGGUGUUCAUGGACUUAAUGAAUAGCGUCUUCCGUCCACUAUUGGACCGGUGCGUCGUGGUAUUCAUUGACGACGUAUUGGUAUAUUCUCGGACCGAGGAGGAACACGAGGAGCAUUUGAGGACCGUGUUGGAAAUACUCCGAAAAGAGAAGUUAUAUGCCAAGUUGAAGAAAUGCGACUUUUGGCUAUCGGAGGUCACUUUCCUUGGUCAUGUAAUUUCGGGUGAUAGUAUCUCGAUUGACCCGAAGAAAGUUGAGAUAAUUAGAGAUUGGCCUCCCCCGACGAGCGUAUCGGAGGUCCGCAGUUUCCUUGAGCUAGCGGGCUAUUACCGGCGAUUCGUGGAGGGGUUUGCUAAAAUAACUACUCCACUAACGCGCAUCACACAUAAAGGGGUGAAAUAUGUUUGGAGCCUCGAAUGCGAGCGAAGCUUUGAGGAGUUAAAAGAAAGAUUGAACACGACCCCGGUGCUUGCUCUACCGACGCCGGGGGAGACCUUUGUGGUUUAUAGUGAUGCUUCCUACGUAGGACUCGGGUGUGUCUUGAUGCAAGACGGGCGGGUUAUAGCUUAUGCUUCACGCUAAUUGAAGACGUAUGAGAAGAACUACCCGAUCCACGAUCUUGAGCUAGCGGCGGUGAUAUUCGCGCUAAAAUUAUGGAGGCAUUACUUAUACGGGGAACAUUGUGAGAUCUAUACAGAUCACAAAAGCCUUAAAUACUUGUUCACCCAAAAGGAGUUAAAUAUGCGGCAGCGGUGGUGGUUAGAAUUGUUGAAGGACUAUGAUGUUACUAUUCUAUACCACCCCAGGAAAGCAAAUGUGGUUGCCGAUGCACUUAGUAGAAAAUCGGAAAAAAAAUUUGGCUUCGGCAAUUACACUGUAAGGAAGUGAAUUCUCGAAAUUCGAGGAUUGUACUUCAUCCCGGAUCGACUAACUGUCGAGAGUGUAUCCUUUGUGGGAGUUGGAAAUGUCCGAAACACAAAAAGUGCUUUGGAGUUGAGUCCGCGAGAGCAAAUGAGGCAAACUGCGUCAUUGGGCUGAUGCUGCUCUCGGGGACCGGUCUCUGCAGGUGAGAGACCAGUUCCACUGGCUGGUUGUAGCGGGGUUGCAUGAUGCAACCGGUCCCUGGUAGGGAGGGACCGGUUCCCGAACGUGGUCCCAGCGAGAGAUGCCAAAAAUUGGCUAAGUCCUGAAAAUCGAGCUCUCGGGGACCGGUCUCUCAAGCGAGGACCGGUCUCCCGAGGACCGGUCUCCCGGGGAGAGACCGGUUCCUGAAUACGUGCGCCCGAGGGAAGCUCUCGGGGACCGGUCCCAAGUCGGGGAGACCGGUCCCUCCGCGCGAAAACCGCCCAGUAAGGGUUGUGCAAUAGAUGGAAAGUUGAGGGGUUUUUAUGCAAAAUAGCCUUUAAUAGAGUGGGUUGAGCCCUCUCUCUCUCCCUCACACUCUCAUUUUCCUCUCUUUCUCUCUUGCUCUCUCUCUCUCUCUCUCUAGAGAAGAAAGGAGAAAAAGAAGAAGAAGAAGGAGAGGAAGGAAAAGAAGAGAAAGAACAAGGAGGAGAAGAAGAAGGAGACCAAGAAGAAGGCUUUGGACACCUUCAUCUCCUUCUCCUCUUCCCAUUGGUGUAGCUCUUGAGGUAGGCUACCAAACCCUAGCUUUGUAAACUUAGGGUUUUUGGGUUUUUAUGCUUUGGAAUGGGUCAAAUGGACCCUAAGCUUGCUUCUAAAUAGAUCAAUCCCAAGAAAUCUAGGGAUUUAUUGGUGGUUUGCUAUAGGUGCAAACCUAGGGCUCCAAAAUGGGGUUUUUGUAAAAGUAUGAGAUUGAUCUCAUUUGAAGCCUUGGAAACCUUAUUGAUAGGUCACAAAACGCGGGGGCGAAGUCAAUUUUGGCAUCCGGCGAACCAACGUGAAGUUCUCGGCAAAAUCGGACCGGGCUAGUGUUGAUUCGGGCGAGGAAGGCUAAAGCCUUUUCGUAAAGCUCGCCGAGAGAGAUUUCCGAAACCUCUACAUCGAUUAAAGGUGGGGGGUGUCAUCCGAAACUUUCGAACUCCUUUCUAUGUCUUAGAUUGCAUUUAAUCUCAUCUCUUCAUGUGCAUUGUAGGAUUGCAUAGUAGUUCCAUUCCUUAUACUUUCUAAUUGAUAACCUAGUGUACUUGGAACGCUUGGUAAUUUAGAUAGGUGAGGAUUGGGUCGAGACGUGAAUCCUAUGGUGCGAAAGAAAAGAGAUGAACCCGAUGGGGGUAUUGAUGACAUAGGAAGUAGUGGAUAGUGUUAAAGAACACGAGUGGCAUCCGAAUGAUAAAUGAUGACGAGUGGCAUUAAUGUAGUGUAAAUAACACUAGAGGUCGAUGGACCUAGGGAUAGGUGGAUCCCUUAGAAAAUGCCUUGUGAACAAUGAAUUUAGAAAACUAAAUAGCAUUGUAUGAAUGUCGGGAACCGAUGAUUCUGCGAUAGUCGUUGACCCUAGUGUAGGGCGUCCUCACUUGGAGAGGAUUCGAUUGGGUUAUUGACUCUAGUUGUAGAGCCUCCUCACUUGAAGAGGAUUGGAUUGGGUGUUGACCCUGGCUACAGUGUAUCCUCACAUGGAGAGGAUAGAUCUAGCUCACAGUCUGCGUUUAGGGUGGCAUAGCCAUCCAAUCCCCACAUGGAGGGGAUUGUCGUCGAGUACUCCGGAGUGUCGCGCGACUAGGACCACUUGGAGGUCCGGACCACAUGGAGGUCCGCAGACGGUCCCGGGCUUGGGUGCACUUGGAGCUCCCUCCCCACUUUGGGAUUGAAAGGUGAGUCAUGGGCGAGCCCUAGGGCCUCGCCACAGAUUGGGUAAAUGGAAAGAUUAUUAAUGUCAUUAAACAUUGCUAUUCGAACAUGGAUCGAACUUGUUAGCAUGAUAGCAAACUUUUAUUAUAUGAUGCAUGCAUUCAUACUUAUGAUUAUGGGCAUAGUAGCAUAGUUUUCCUACUAUUGCAUUUACAGCUUUCAGAUACAUAUCUAUCUAUCCAUCUGUUGUUACUUGUGCCCAUUUGGACCUAGUGGGGAGAUCGGCAGAGUCGGCGACCGAGCCCACUGGGAACUAUGAAAGAUAGUUCUCAUCCCACUCUAUUUCCAGUGGUAGGUUCAGGGCUGCAGAGAGAGGACCGCGGUAAGGGCGUCGCGCCCGACCAGUGAGACCGUAAUAGUAUAGUAGCUUUCCUUUUUGCAUUAGUCACCUAUGUAUAGAGAGGGAUUUAUUGUAGGUGAGGAUUUGGAGAGCUAUGUAUUUUGGAUGAAAAAUGUAUUCAUUUAAAGAAAAUGAUGUAAUGAGAAUGUUGAAACUAUUGUAAUAGUUAGUAAAGUACUCUCUUUAUUUCACUAGUUUUAUCUUGUGGAUUACUUGCUUUUGUAUUGUCGGCACUGUUUGUGCCCUCUUGAAUGUGUAUGCUUAGAAUUUAAUUUCCUGGGUAAAUUCUUGUAUGCAUUCCUGUUGUUGAGCCUUGGGCGGAAAGGGGAGGUACUGUCCGUUCGGCGGCCCGCCGCCGCGGCCAAACCGUGCCAAAUUGGUAGUAGAUUCGGGGCGGGGCGUGACAUACACCCCAACCAUUGUUGCAAAAGGAGAUGCAACGGCUUCGCUUCAAAGUAGUGGAGCCGGGAGUGCCGGCUACACUUGCCGCGUUAGUAGUGCAACCGACCUUGUUCGAGAGGAUAAAAGAGCUACAAGCUUCCGAUGAGUAUCUCCAAAAGGUGCGCGGUGAAGUUGAGAGCGGUAGUGCCCGUGAUUUUGGCAUUGGGACCGAUGGCGCACUCCGGUUUAGAAACCGUUGAUGUGUGCCUAAGAACAAGGACGUCUGCAGGGCGAUUAUGCAAGAGGCGCAUCAAUCUCCUUAUAGUAUACACCCGAGCGGCACCAAAAUGUACCAAGAUUUGAGAUUGUAUUAUUGGUAGCCGGGCAUGAAGAAAGACAUUGGGGAGUUUGUUGCGCAAUGUCUUACCUGCCAACAAGUAAAAGCGGAGCGGCGGUUUUCGGCGGGAAAGUUGCAAAGUUUACCUAUACCCGUUUGGAAAUGGGAGAAUAUCGCAAUGGACUUCGUGACCGGAUUGCCUCGAUCUCAAGGUGGACACGAUGCAAUUUGGGUGAUAGUAGACAGGUUGACGAAGUCGGCACAUUUCCUACCGAUUCAUGUUAGUUGGUCGGGGGACAAGUUGGCUCAACUAUAUAUCAACGAGGUUGUGAGACUUCACGGGGUACCGGUGUCUAUUGUAUCAGAUCGGGACCCGAGGUUCACAUCUCAUUUUUGGAGGAGCCUACAGGAGGCCUUAGGCACACGGCUCGACUUUAGCACAACAUUUCAUCCUCAAAGUGAUGGUCAAUCAGAAAGGACGAUACAAAUACUUGAGGAUAUGCUUCGAGCGUGUGUAUUGGACUACAAGGGUAGUUGGCAUGAUCAUCUACCGAUGGCGGAGUUCGCGUACAAUAAUAGUUACCAAGAAAGUAUCGCGAUGGCGCCAUUCGAGGCCCUUUAUGGAAGGAAAUGUCGCUCCCCGAUUCAUUGGAGCGAUGUGGGCGAGAGAGCUCCUCUUGGCCCGGAGGUAGUGCGGGAGGUGGAGGAGAAAGUUCGCCUUGCCUGCCAAAGGCUUGCUACGGCGCAAUCUCGACAAAAGAGCUAUGCCGACAAACGGAGAAAAGAUAUAGAGUUUGCAGUUGGCGACCACGUCUUUCUAAAAGUGUCGCCGAUGUGAGGAAUUAGACGGUUUGGGCUCCGGGGAAAGCUAAGUCCCCGGUACCUUGGACCGUUUGAGAUAUUGGAGCGGGUCGGUGCGGUGGCGUACAAGAUAGCAUUACCAUCGAGGCUUGCGGGAGUACACGACGUGUUCCAUGUAUCGAACCUCCGCAAGUAUGUUCACGAUCCCGAUCAUGUUCUCUCGUUCGAACCGUCCGAGAUCCAAGAGGACAUGACCUAUGAGGAGUUCCCGGCAUACAUCAUCGAUCGAGAAGUAAGAAAACUACUAAAUCGCGAGAUUCCGUAUGUUAAGGUUCGUUGGUGGAAUCACGAUGAUCGGGAAGCUACUUGGGAGCUCGAGAGCACAAUGCGGGAGCAUUACCCUCAUCUUUUCGAUGAAACGAAUUGAGGUACGAGUUUAAGUUUAAAUUAAGUUAGUUUCGCGGAUGAAACUAAAGAGGUGGAGAAUGUAACAUACCGAAACCUUGGUAAGUAAAUUCGAACCUUGGUCAAAUUGACCAAAGUGCGAAGUUGGUACACUUCGGAGAGGCCGAAGGCGUCAAAUAAUGCAAAAUGCAUUACUGGGAAUCUUCUAGAGUUUUUGGAAAUCAAAAUCUACAAACUGCAGGUUUUGUGCUCUCGGGGACCGAUCCCUGGUGGAAGAGACCGGUCCCCGAACGCGUAGGCAGCGAGAAGGCUGAGAAAUCGGCUAAGUUCUGGAAAACCAGCUCUCGGGAACCGAUACUUGCGAGGAUAGACCGGUUCCAUCAGGGGGAGACCGGUUGCAUCGCGCGCAGCCUGCGUAGUCCGCGGAAGAAGCUCUCGGGGACCGGUCCCAGGUCGGGGAGACUGGUCCCUGACUGCGGAAAAUGUCCAGUCUAGGCAGUGCACAAAGAAAGAGUUGGAGGGCUUAGUUGCAAAUGUUGCAACAUGUUAUAUAGCCCAUUCCCUCUCCUCUCUUCACAGCAAACACACUUCCCUCUCUCCCUCUUAUUUUCUCUUCUUUCUCUCUCUAUAAAGCAAGCCCUAGAGCUUGGAGAAGGUGGAGAAAAGCUUGGAGGAAGUGGAUUUUGGAGGUUUGGUGGUUCUAGAAGCUCUCGAACAAGAAGGAGCUUGCUAGAACUUGGGCCAAGGUAAGUUUUUAGCAUGUAGAGCUCUAGGGUUUGGAUUUUAACCUUAGAUUUUGAGUUUUGAUCUCUCUACAAGUGAGGAAACCCUCUAGAGACCUUGAAACUAUGAAAUCCAUGGUUGUCUUGAACUCCUCUCAUGGUGAACUUCUAGGGUUCAUCUUGGAUGCCCUAGAAAUGGCCUAGUUGGCCUUAGGUGAUUUCCUGGAGGUUAAAUAAGCUCUCUUUUGCUUGUUUUAGAGAUCAAAACCUAGGGUUUAGCAAUGGAUUUGGUUAGGGAACCAAAUUUGGGGCUUUUGCCUCCGAAUGUUUUUAAGGCAAAUUGACCUUGUAGAAACCUAAUUGGGGGUGUCCCCGACACGUUGGACAACUCCAUUCGACGUUACGAAAAUGUUUAAGUAUGGUUCAUGUACAAAAGGCCUAAAGUGGCACUAUUUUGAUUGUAGGUCGCGAUAUCAGCUUUCGUAAAGUUCGGGAGUCGUCAUAUUCUGCACCCACACGACCACUCGAGGUGGGUGGUGCAUUCCAAGGAUUUCGAAAAUUCCUUUAUGUCUAAAGUGUCAUAUUUGAGCAUAUGUAUAUAUAUUGAGCAUGUUGCAUAAUAGGGUUAAUUGUGAGCUUUUUAUGGCAUGAUUAUGAGUUGAAAUGCAUGUGAAUUACUUGUAAAAAAAUAUGAGAAUUUGUAAACCCUGUAUAUGCAUGAUAAGAGACAAGAACCUAGAAGGGUUAGUGAACAAAAGUGACACAUGGACAUAGAUCUAGUGAGUGACAUUGAUGAGUCUAGAACACCUAGAAAAACAAGUGUGGCAUUUGGCAUGAGAAUAAGAACAUAGCACUUAGAAAACAAGUGUGGCAUGAGUUCAAGAAUUUUGUAGUGCAUAUGACACUAGUGAUAGUAAAGAAUGCAAAAGAAAAGAAUGAUUGAGACAUUAUGACAUUUCAACCUUAGAGUUAAGGGUCAUUGAGCAUAGUCUUCCUUAAAGUUAAGGAAUGGAUUGAACUUGGAAUCCUCAAUGUAGGAUUGAUCGUACUCACCUUUAGUCCUUACUCGAGAGUGGUAGCUCCCCCUCGAACGAUGUGCUCCGGAGUCGACAUCACUGGGUCGUAGGAGGUAUCUCCCCAGAAGACGGUCCUAUCGAGUUGUAGCGGGUAUCUCCCCGGUUAAAUAGGAUUUUGGGUUGGUGAGUUUGUUAAGGGCGAAACCUACGAGUUAGCCAAGAGAUUGGGUAAAGAAAUUGUAAUCUUGCAUUCAUCAUGAGCAUUAUAUCGAGCAUCGCAUUUUAUAUUGUUCAGGCAUAUUAGUUGCAUUUAUUAGUUGGUUACUUUCUUUUCCUUAUUCUAUUAUGCCUGAUUAGACCUAGUGGGAUAGUCGGCGUAGUUGGUUGCCGAACCUACUGGGAACUUUGUUAUAGUUCUCACACCCCUAUUUCCACAGAGCCGGGACUGAGCAAGCCGGCAGACGACCGCGGUAAGAGCAUCGCGCCCUAGGUAGAGACCGCCCGAGAUGUUCUAUUUCAUAGUUGCAUAACCUUUAAUAUAUCAUCUUUUGUAUUUGAUGAUUUUAGUAUCAAGAACAUGUUUAAAUGAAUGAUGUAAAGAAUAUUUAUUUUAAAUGUCAAAAGUUAUAUUUUGGGAGAAAUGAGAUAUAAAAAGAAAUGAUGCAAUAAUUGUACUCGAUUUCCUAAGUGUAGUUAUUUACUUUCACUAUUGGCUAUGGCUUGCCCACGUGCAAGCCAUUGUGUAUGCUUCCGCUUAUGCAAACUUUAUACUUUAUUGAUACUUGUUGUUGAGCCUUGGGCGGACAGGGGAGGCUCUGUCCGUUCGGCGUCUGUUCGACGCUCUCGAACCGGCCAAAAGGAUCGGGCUCGGGGCGUGACAGAUAAGAUGGUAUCAGAGCGUAAAGAGCCUAAAAGUGAAAGUAUAGGAUGGACCUAGAGAUCCUUAGGAAUGGAAAACCUUAAUAAGGAUUUAGGAAACGUGAGUGACGUUGAACGAGUUAUAGCGAAGGCAUGGAUUGGGUUGAGGUAAUUGUGUCUCUAAUGUGGUUAGGGACUAAACUUAAGUUGUUAUUUGUUUUCUAUUCUUUGUAUUGUGAUCGGCGGCCUACGACAUUACGCUUUGGAAUGAAAAUGAAUACACUUAUAUGCUUUCGCCGGAUUGGGUAUAAUCGAGUAAGUUGUCUAAGUGACUAACUUGAGUUGCCUCUUUUCAGGAAGCAAUGCCGCCUCGUGGACGACCUAAGUUGCCUCGUGGUCGACCGCAAAUGAGGUCUAUGGCCGAGGAGUCAAGUACGGCUCCUGUGCAACCCGGAGCAGGUGGCGACGGGGAGCUUCGGGAGCAUAUGGCCGCGCUUAUUGGCGUAGUGCGGCAGCAGGCGAAAUCCGUUCAGCGCCAGGCGGAAUCCGUUCAGCGCCAAGGGGAGCAAAUCCAAAGGCUGCAGGAAGCCUUGGAGCAACAGCAGGCGGCGGCGGCGCCCGUGGAGGUCGUGCACCCUGCACCUCCUGCAGUGGUGCCGAGUACGGCCGAGGGUAUGGCCACGGCAGCCGUGCCAGUUACGAUCGUGCCGUGCCAGUUACGAUGGUGCCCACGACAAACCUGUCUAGAUAAGGCUUGAAAACACGAUUCAUUAGAUCCAUAAAAGCUGUCGGGGCGUUAGUAAGCCCAAACGACAUAACUGUAAACUCAUAAUGUCCAUACCGUGUUCUAAAAGCCGUUUUCGACACAUCCUCAGGCUUGAUCUUCAACUGAUGGUAUCCCGACUGCAAGUCGAUCUUGGAAUACACACUAGUUCCCUGGAGCUGAUCAAACAAAUCAUCAAUCCUCGGUAAUGGAUACUUAUUCUUGAUCGUGACCUUAUUGAGUUCACGAUAAUCCACGCACAAGCGAAGCGAUUCAUCAUUCUUCUUGACAAAUAGGACCGGUGCUCCUCAAGGUGACACACUCGGUCGCACAAAACCCUUGUCCAGAAGAUCUUGCAACUGUGCCUUCAGCUCCUUCAGUUCCGCUGGUGCCAUCCUAUAGGGUGCCUUCGAGAUUGGAGUAGUCCCAAGAACGAGAUCUACCACAAACUCGAUCUCUCUAUCAGGCGGCAUGCCUGGGAGCUCUGCUGGAAACGCAUCUCCAAACUGCCGUACUACAGGAAUAUCCUCAAUCUUAGGGGCGUCUACAUCGCCCUGCAGCACAACAGUAGCCAAAUAGGCUACGCAGCCUCUGCUGAUCAACUGUCUAGCUCGAGAGGAGCUAAUCGUCAUCGCAAACAGCGAACUCUGGCAUCCUCGGUACACAACCUCCGCCUGCCCACGCUCUCUAAAUGUCACUGUUCGAUUCUUACAAUCGAUAGUGGCGUAGUAUUUGGUCAACCAAUCCAUGCCCAAAACAAUAUCAAACUCUCCGAGUUUAUGUAAAGCUAGCAAGUCCACGGGUAUGACCCAAUCUCCAACCCGAACAGGACAACGGGGGCAAAACUCUCGAAUAUCCAAAAAGUGAUCGGGUACUACAACUCGUCCCGGAUACAACAAAGACGUCAGUGGGAUGCCAUGCAACUCGACAAAAGCCGGUCUAUGAAUGAAUGCGAUACACCGGUAUCAAAUAAUGCUCGUACUCGAAUACUAUAAAGUAAAAUGAUACCUGCGACCACAUUCUCGGCUGCCGCCGCCUCCUCAGUCUGGGCCGCGUACAUGUGCCCGCUCGGGGGUUGCCCUGACCCUCCCAACUGCCGUUGCACAGGUGGCCGCCCGGCCUGCUGGUGUACAGAAGGUGUCCCCUGGCUGGGACCCGGUGAAGCUGGUGCAGAUGCCGAAGAUGGCGCUGGCGAUGGACCCCUCGGACAGUCCGACUGGAAGUAGCCCUCCUAGCCACACAGAUUGCACCUACCCCGACUGCGUGAACACUGUCGUGGGUAGUGAGGACCACCACAAAUCACGCAGCGCGGUGCCUGGUGACGAUCGGGUCCUCCUCGCUGAGUAGACGAGCCACGUCCUCGCAACUGGCUCCGGCUCCUGGGAUGCCUCGGUGGCCUCCGUGAGUGUGUCUCGCUUGCACCCUCAGCCGCAGGCCUCUUGCCUUUCCCCUUCUCCAAGCCUUCGCGACGCUCCGGAAGGUCUGCCGCUCCAGUCUCCACGAUGAGUACACGGUUCACAACCUCCCGAUAGGUUUGGAGGUUGGAGGACUGCACUAACCGAAAGAUCGAAGGCCGCAAUCCACGCUAAAAAAUGCGGGCCUUGUCCUCGUCAUCUCGCACUACGAAGGGUACACAGUGAAGUAGCCGAGAAAACUCUCUCUCGUACUCGGCCACUGUCCCCUCCUCCUGGCGCAAGCUGUGCAAGUCCUGCUCCAUCUUCCUCUUAACGCUGGUAGGGAAGUAGUGCGCCAGAAGAAGCUCCUUGAACCUUGCCCAAGAAAUUGCUGCCAAAUUAGUGUUGGGGUUGUCCUGGAUAUCCAACCACCAAUGAUAGGCCUCACCAUCCAAGUGAUGUGUGGCGAGAUAAACUCUAUCCCUUUCCUCAACAAAGGUAUCUCGAAAAAGUUUCUCCAUGUGCAUCAACCACUUCUCAACAAUCCAGUGGUCGACCUUCUCGCCGUCAACUUGCUGAGGCGAUCCAUGAGCCGAUCCCGCUCGGCUCCCUCGGCCAUCACAGGGAAAGCUGCCCUCGCCGCAGCUAUCUGAACCGGUGGUGCUGCGACCACUUCCUCCCGAGGUGCAGUCGCUUGUGCCGCACGCGAAGAAUUGGGCGCGAGGGAUUGCGCCCUCGGUGCGACGUCCUCUACGGGUGCUGGCGGUGUGGGAACCUGAGUCUUCCUAGAAGCUGCUGCCUGCUGUAGCAAGAGAUCCUCCAGGUGCUUCAUCCGUGCCUCCUGCCGCUGUGCCACCUCGGCCUGUCGCUGAGCGGCCGCCCUCUGCUGUGCUACAAGGUCAGUGAGGACCGCAAGCUGGGACCUCAAGUCGCGAACCUCGCUAGAUCCGAAAGUCGCGGAGGUUUCGACCUCCUCGAGGUAUGCCGCAUCGUCCGCUCCGGCAGAUUGGGAGCGUGUAACCGGCAUCGUCACUACAAAUCAUAAAAGCGCAAGUUAGUAACCCGCGCUAUCGGAUCCCCGCUCAAAAUAACCAAACCCUAAUUCUUGCAAAAGUAGGAAAGUGUCCUUCACUACUAACUCCCGAUGUUACGUUGUCGGCCGCCAACGUAACCCUCUGGGAAGUUAGAAGCCAUACACUCCGAUUAAACUCUAACUUUUUAGAGUUGUCAUAAAACCCAAUCAAAAUACUUUCGCUCACAAGUCGAAUAGAUUUCGUCUCUCAUGAGCCUAUAUCCUAUAGUCAAACCGGCCUAAGAUUUGCUAGAUCCACUAAGACUCAACCCUAGGCUCUGAUGCCAAAUUAAUCUGUCACGCCCCGGGGCCGGCAGAGGCCCUCCCGGUAGCGCGCCCAGACCCGCCAUAUGUCUACACAUAUAAGGCGUCUACAACAACAGCGGAAAUAAAACAAGAGAUAAUCUACAACUAGAGAUAUCAGAGCAAGUACACAACUAUAAUCUAUGAUAAGAGUAGAUGGAACAACUAAGUAAAAAAGAGGAAACAUAAGGUUAUACAAUAACCAUCUCCAAAAAGUACACAAAAUGGGUGGUCUCUAUUACACUGGUACAGCUCUCAACCUCUCCAAAAAAAAAACAACGAGAGGUAGACCACCUAUCAACGCGUCCCUCGAAGCCAAGCUAGCUCGAGGCGAUACCCUUUCCGCGGUCCCUAGCCUCUCUCGGCGUGGAAGGCUCUGAAAUAAUAUCAAGAAAAAGAGGGCGUGAGAACUAUAAAUUAUAGUUCCCAGUGGGCAAUUGCUGACCUCAGCUCAAUGCACCACUAGGCCCCAAAAGAAAAGGGUAAGUCCAAAAGCAACAAUAAUAAUAAAUGGAUUGCAUUUAUGAAAGCAUGAUUAAAAUGCUAAGCUACUAUAUUGCAAAUAAACAUGAUGUCAAAUGUGUUGUACAUCUACUUUAUCAAAAUGAAGUAUGUCCAAGCAUGACUAGUAUGUCCCAACAUAACGAGCAAGUAGGUAUCAUGAUCCACUAUAUCAAUGUAUGAUGAAUAUGUUCUAACAUGGCAGCAAAGUAUACUAUGAUGCAACAAAUAAGACUAUCAUGUAUACUACAAGUACAACACUAUGCUAUAAGCAUGUCGAGGUAAUCAAACUACUAAGCCUAUCUAGUAGUGAUAGUCAUUUUUCGGUUCAAUAUCAUUGUAUCCAACAUGUUCGAGGACCUACAUAGUGUAGUCCAGCUUGUGCCAUCUAAAUGUCGGUGGUAGCUCCAACAUUCCCACUCUAGGAAUGAGUUUAUCCCUCCUGACCCCGUAGGUUUCUCGAUACCGCACGAGCGAACAUAAGUCGCGUAGGCCAACUCCGGAGUGCCGGCUUGUAGGGAGCGACCCUCACAAGCAUGUGCGAAUGAGCACAAAUAGCAAGCAAGCGUAGUCAACGUCUCAAACACCCAAUCAUCAUGUCUCUAACAUGGUAAAAGUCACAAGCAUCUCAAUGAUCUAGUUCUAUAUCACAAUGUGAAGUUUCAAUAUUCACUAAGUCUAGUGCCCGUUCAUGACACUUAGACAAUUCUAUAUUCAAGCAUGUUCCAAUUUCCAAAUCUCUCAAUGGCCCUAUCUACUAGGUUCACAUAUAUCCCGAGCUCAAUGCUGCUUUAUGAUAUUAGCUCACAAUUUCACAUGUCAAUCUUGUCGAAUGCCCCUUUAUGGCAUUAUAAUAAUUCCAUGUCCAACUAGGGUUUAAGUCCAAUGGCACUUUACAUAGAUCAAUUCUACUAUAUAAACAGGAACCCAAGUCUCCCAUAAGAAUGCUAAUGCACACAUAAGCCUCAUAUGCAAGUUCCCUACUUUAUAGGGGUCCAAAAAUACGAUGUAUGUAACAUAGGCAUUUUAAGCAUUCUAAAAUUCAUAAUAAAUACAUUUAUCAUAGAAAUGCAUGAAUUUCUACUUUACGAAGCAUAAAACAUCGGAUAUGAGAAUUUCUCAUAUGCUAGGCUAGGUCAAACCCACCGAACCGUCUCGAAACCCUUCGUUUCGCCAAAUAGAGUUGUCCACAAGUCUCUAAAUACCCUAAAGGUAAGGAGCGAAGAGAUAAACAAAUGUUACAAGCAACUCUAGGCUCAAACAUUAACCACCACAAGCAAAGGGGCAAAAACUCACCUAGAGAGUAGAAAAUCUCUCUCAAGCUCCAAAAGAGAGCUAGAUCCCUUCCAAUCCGAUCUAAUGGAAGAUUCUAAACCAAGUAAUUGAGCCUCAAAAGCCCUAGAUCAAGAACGCCCAAAAUCAACCUUAAAAUUCCAUUCUAGGGUUUCAUCUACCAUAAAGCAACAAAACUCAAAUCUAGACGGAGAGAAUGGGCUACCAACCUCUCGGGAGCUUCAAUCCAAGCUCUAAGUCCUCUAGGGUUGAAGAUUGGUCCACUACUAAGCUCCAAAAGCAAGCUCUCAUUCUCCUUCCUUCUUCUCCCUUCUUCUUCUUCUCUCUCUAAAAACAAAGGAGAGAGUGAAAUGAGGGAGGAGAGGAGGUGAAAUGGCCAUGUAGGCCCUCUAGUACAACAAAAUCCAGAGAAGCCUCUCAAUUUCCCAAUAUUGCAUCAGUCUGGACUGGGCAGUUUUCGGACUGAGGGACCGGUCUCCCUGACAUGGGACCGGUCUCUCGGCCUGCCCCGAAAUCCAACAUUCGGGAACCGGUCUUUCCCCGCAUGAGACCGGUCUCUCCCCGCGUGCACGCGCUCGGGGACCGGUCUCUUCCGCCAGGGGUCGGUUGCCUCAAGGCUGCCGCAAUGCUGUUCGGGGGGGACCGGUCUCUCCCAGCGAGGGUCUCGUCCCCGAGAGUAAAAACUCUCAGGACUCGUCCAGAACUCAGGUUUUCAAACUUUUAGGUCAGAAAACAUUCUACGACCCUCCACCAAGCGUGGAAAAGCUCGAAACACAUCCAAUCACUCGAACCUCGCAAUUUGCACAGGUCCAGUGUGCUACAGUUGGCCUAUGCAACAUCAUGCUCGCCCGUGCGGGAUUGGGGGCCGAAGUGGAUUGUCGUGGGCGAGGCUCAUUCCUAGCAGGGGAAUAUUGACUACCACGGGACCAUUAGGCACGGCGCAAGCCAGGAUUUUACCUUGUAUGAGUCCUUGUGGAUUUGGAUAACUAUAAACAAACUUAAUGUUGAACUUCGCUACUAGAUAGUGCAUGACAUUUGGACAUAUAGCUUAGUCACUCUUUAUGCUUAUACAUGCGAUACAAUAGUUUCAUACAUGUUAAAUAACAUUAUUAUUUGGAGGUACAGUAGUACACGAAUUUCUUCAAUUCUUGCAAGUAAUCAUGCUAUAAUAUUAGCAUCUCUAUUUUUGCCUUAGUUGACCUAGUGGUGUAAUUCGCGUUUCUCGGCGGCUUACCCACUAGGAAUUAUUGAUUAAUAGUUCUCACCCCCAUAUAUUUGUUGUUUUUAUUUCAGAGCCUUCCACAACGGGUGAGGCUAGGGAUCGCGGUAAGAGAGUCGUGUCUAGCUAAUGCGUUGGGAGAUAUCCUUAGGUGGACACCUUUCUUUUUGUUUAGUUAGGAGAGAUGUUGUGACCCUUUUUGUAUAGAGACCACCUUAUGAACCAUGUGAUGUAUUCUUUUGGGGUUACUAGAUGUAUAUUUUGGAUAGUGAUUCUUUCUAUUAUUUUACUUGUUAUUAUUAUUCUCUAGUUGUAGUUUAUUUGCUCAGUUUAGUACUUAUACUCUAAUUACCAUGCUAGAACUUAUUUCCUUGUUAUCUCUAUUGAAUGUUUUAAUGUAGACACCUUGUGUGCAUCGGGGUUGCCUUGUGCAUACGGCGGGUCUGUGUACGUACCUAGUAAGCUUCCGCUGGGGCCCAGGCGUAACAUUUAGUCCCGACCGACCUAGAGCUUGUUUUGGCCAUCAUCAUUGUUCCGAGCUUCCUUGACACCGAUGACAUCUUGAGAGGUGAGCACGGUCCUCCAAAGGUGUUGGGGACAUCCGUGUUUACCUUUGUCGUAGUUUAGGAACCCUCAGUUGACCAAUUUUAUUGUCGUGCACUCGGGAACAUUGGAAACUCUAGUUCACAUUGCCCUGGUUCGCGUCUCGACCUCUGAUUUCUCUCCGGACAGUAGCACAGGUUCUGGUGCAUCGAGACCUUCCAAGCUGUACUCUCUUUCAGAUCCCCAGGUUACAUCGACGGUACUUCUCGAACAAUUAUUUUUGCUAUAUUAAUACUGCUCAUCGAGUGUUUGGCGAAAUGCCGCAAUGAGUUAUUUUGCAUCCUGGAUGUCUCGAACAGCAUGGGUUCGGCUUUAGAAUGUUUGUACAUGCUGUACGAAGCCUAAGGACACUUUGGUUCGAACCUUGUGGCAAACGACAUGCAAAACUGUGCCUACAUCUGUGUUAUAAUAUGCUUUUUGGCCCCAUUUUCGCACAACAGGUAGUCUCUACUGGUUGUAGUGGGAGGUGAGCAUUGCUUUCUGGUUGGGACUUGCUGGCAUGAAGUUCGGGCAAGCAAGCGACCGAAAACGUGUUCCUGAGCCGAAAAGGCACUUUUCGAAAAUCUGAUACGGGUAGUUUUUGGGUUUUUGCCCUCGAAUUGCACUACUGGGUGUGCGGCGAUUCCAAUACUCAAAGGUGAGUGUCCUGGGACAACAUGGGAGGGUCGGGUUCCGUUUGAUGUACUUCGAAUUACUCCGGGGCCGAAACAAACCUCAAAACGCAAGUAACCAGGCGAUUUUGGCAGUAGAAUCGUUGAUUGUGGAAUGCAGCUAUUUGUAACAGUGUUUGGGCCUUAUCUACAGGUCACCCUUGCUGUCUCAUAUGUUAGGAGAUAGUGGAAGGGUUGACUGUGGGUUCUGGAACCAAAUUGGCAUUUUUCGGAAUCCGACGUAGUUAGGUUGAUGCUUUAGGUACUUGCUUGCAUCGUUUUGUGUGUUGCUACCCGGACUCCGAAAUAGGUGUGUCUUGGGGCAGCGGGUGAUGUUUGGUGAGCUUUGUUACUCUUUGGAGCACUUCGUGAAUUCGAAAGGGUUAUAAUGUGUUGCCGGGUAUUUUCGGUGGGUUUAAGGAUUCGGUAAAGAUACCGAAUGCCCGGUUGGUUUUCGGGUUGCGUGAUAGAUAAUUCUAUGUCUCCUAGGGUUUGUUCAUAUUGAUUGUGACACUAUAGGAUCUUUUAUAGGUCUAGGUAGCUCAUUGGAGUAUGGUUGGAGCUCGAUGCUCUACUAGAUUAUAGGUGAGUACUUCGAUCUGAAGUCGGUCCAGCAGCUCAUGCUCGGUGGCUUCUUACCUUUUUUCUCUUCAGUGAUUGUAUAGUUUAUCAUGAUUAUAUGUUCAGUAUCUUGCACACUACUUGGUACUCGUUGGUCUACUCUAUGGUUGUUUCGUCUUGUAGUAUCAUGAUUGAUCUAGUAGUAAAGUUGUAACACACUGAACUUUAGCAAAUUGCAAGGUUGUAGUGUAAGAAUGGUAUUUUAAUCUAUUCUGCAUGUUUUGAGGAUCGCCUGUAUGGUACCUGCCUGUUUAUGGAACUUAUUUGACGCGAGAAUAGGCUUUCAGCGUCAAAAUCUGCAAAUUGCAAAUUUUAGGGUUGGAGUACCGGUACUGCAUCGGGCAGGUACCGGUACGCCGUAGUGUGAAGGCUUGACCGAGGCUCAGGUUGAGCAGAAUUUUGUGCAGGGUACCGGUACGCCUCCCCGAGUAUCGGUACGCCUCGCAGACAAACUGCAGUUCGUGCAGUUUGUAAUUUUUGGGUUUUGAAGGGCUUGGGUGGAUAUUGUUAUAAUGUGUUUAUAUACCCCUUCAUCCCUAUUUGUUCCUCAGUGGCUGAGGCUUGAGAGAGGGACUAGAGGUGGGUUUUUCUCUUCUUCUCUCUAGAUUUUCUCCUCUAAUCUGUUGGAUUUUUGAAGAUUGAUCUCUUUUCUUCCUCUUCUCCAUGGUUGCUUGCUUCUUGGAUCUUGGAGGUGAUGAGAAGAGCUUGUGGAUGGUUCAAACUUCAACCCUAGCACAUGAUGGCUCAAGUUGAAACUUGUUUUGAGGUUAGAACACUUCUCUUAAUCUUUAUUAGAGAGAUUUGCAUGAGAUUUGGGAUUAAACCUAGUUUAUUUUGGGAAACUAGAGUUUAUUUUGGGAUUUUUCUAUUAUGAACUUUUGGGAUGGAAUUGAUGAGCAUUACAAGAAUUGACAGUAUUGGUGGCAAAAAUAAUGUGGCGAUAAAUUUUGUCGCCACUAUAUAGUUACUUAUUGUGGCAAUAAAAAAAUUUGCUACUGAUUAGUUAACUAAAAGUGGCAAUGCUAGUUUUGCCAUUGAAUGAUUAUUUUAUCGCCACUAUUUGGUUAUCUACAAUGGCGAUAAAACAAAUGGCCACUGAUUAAUUAACAUAAAGUGGUGACACUGCUUUCGCCACUAAAUAAUUAUUUUGUCGCCACUAACUCGUUAUUUAUGAUGGCGAUAAAAAAAAUUGCCAUUGAUUUAUUAACUUAAAGUGGCAAUAUUACUUUCGCAACUAAAUGAUUUUUUAUCGCCAUUAUUUGGUUACCUAUAGUGGCGAUAAAAAAAUUUUGCCACCAAUUAAUUAACUUUAAGUGGCAAUACAAAAAUUUGCCAUCAAUUAAUUAACUUUAAGUGGCAAUAUUACUUUCGCCACUAAAUGAUUUUUUUUUACUUCUGUUUUUUUCUUUUUUAAAAAUUUUUUUCAAAGAUACUGAAGAAAGCAACGAGAAAUGUAUUAAUGCUAAUUGGAUCUAUCAUAUCUUGGACCUCACUGGAUGCGAGCUUCGACAUUAAUAGUGGGUGGCAUUGGGCCAAAAAAUUAUAGAAUUUAUAUAUCUGAACUCCAUAAGGAUGGUUUAUAUUAAUUAAUAUUUUGUAGUCAAAAAUAUAAACUGACUUAAUUUACAGAAUUUUAAAACCUAUGUAUAAAGAAGUCUUGAUUUUGUUAAAAAAAUGCUACUUAUACGAACAUAUAAUAUAUGAAUUCUAGUAUUAGAAUAAAAAAAUUAUAAAAUGAUAGUAAACUUAUAAAAUUACAACCAAUUUCUUAUUACAGAUUUAGCAUUACUUUUUUAAAAUUUUUGAUUCAAACUGAAACUUAAUUCAAAAAUUUUUGAUUCAAACUAAAAUUCAACCCAAAAAAAAUGUUUGAUCCCAACUAAAGCACAGCCCUAAAAAAAUAAUGCUAAAUCUGUAAUAAGAAAUUGGUUGUAAUUUUAUAAGUUUACUAUCAUUUUAUAAUUUUUUUAUUCUAAUACUAGAAUUCAUAUAUUAUAUGUUCGUAUAAGUAGCAUUUUUUUAACAAAAUCAAGACUUCUUUAUACAUAGGUUUUAAAAUUCUGUAAAUUAAGUCAGUUUAUAUUUUUGACUACAAAAUAUUAAUUAAUAUAAACCAUCCUUAUGGAGUUCAGAUAUAUAAAUUCUAUAAUUUUUUGNCAGCCGCCGCCGCCGCCGCCGCCGGAGAGGCCGAGCCCUUCGUCGUGGGGCAGCGGCGACCACGACGCCCCGGAGGUGUUGCACUUGGGGUGGGGCCACUGGUACACUCUCCGAGAGCUCGAGGCCGCCACGAACUCGUUCUCCGACGAGAACGUGAUCGGAGAAGGAGGGUACGGGAUCGUCUACCACGGCGUUUUGGAGGAUAACACCUAGGUCGCCGUGAAAAAUUUGCUCAAUAAUAGGUCGAAUUUUUUGCUCUUUGUUGCGCAUGUUAGGUGUUUGAUGAUUUUACUCAGAGAAUGUAGUUAUGAAUGAUAAUGUGAUGUUGUUAGCGCAUGUUAUGUGUUCGAUCACUUUUCUCAGCAAUGAAAUCACCCAGAAAAAUAAAAUAAAAAAUGAGUUGUCGAUGGCGAUUGUAUCAUAAAACAAUUGUGUGGUAUUACAACAGGUAUCGUUACUAGUGUUUUGAUUUGAAUUAUAUUAGCUCAUUAUAUUGGGGAUUUUGUUAAAUUUAACGCCGAUUCCGCUAAACUUAAUCGCCACAGAUCAGUGCGACAUACGUUUCAUUAUUAUAUGUUAUGAUGCUUGAUUCGAUGUUGUUAAUUCGAUGAUGUGAAGAUUUUUUUUAUGUUGCUUAGACACUCAACAACAACAAGUACCAUCUGAAGAGUACAAUUAUUAGCAUAAAUUAAUUUAGGAGUUCUCUGUCUUCAAUUGAUGAUUAAUUAAACUGAAAAUUCUGUAACUUGUCGAAUUUUUUUAAUUGACACUAUAUUCUAUAACUUGUAGGCUGAAACUGUUAAGCUCAAAUUGAAAUUGAUGGAAUUUGUGAAAAAAAAAAAGAGGUUAGGUAGUGAAGUCAAAAAUUUCAAGUCUAGGUGCUCAUUUAAAAGAUGCAGUUUAUGUAAGGCGUUUGUAUUUUUCCUUAUAUUAUAGAUCGUAUGAGUUUCAUUUGAUUUCAAUUUGAUUGGAUCCUAAGUAUCAUAUGUCGUGGCAAUCUUGGGCUAACUUACUAGUUGGAUAAGAACAACCUAGGGUAUCUCUUGGUUUAAUUUUUAAUUGUGCCUUUUUGGUGGAUCAUAAUUCUCUCAGGGUGGAUGUAGCACACUGGACCUUUGCAAAGUGCGAGGUUCGAGUGUUCGACUUAUAUUCCGAACUUUUCCACACUUGGUGGAGGGCCGUCGAUGGUAUACCGGCCUAAAAGUUCGAUCUCGAGAGCUUGGGCAGAGUCCUAAGAGUUUUUACUCUCAGGGACCGGUCCCUGAUAGGAGAGACCGGUCCCCCCAGUGAACAGUGCUGCGUAGCCGGCAAGGAAACCGGUCCCUGGCAGUCGAGACCGGUCCCCGAGCGCGUCUGCGCGGGGAGAGACCGGUCCCGCGCAGAGAGAGACCGGUUCCCGAACGUUGGAUUUUCGGGGGCAGGCUGAGAGACCGGUCCCAGGUCGGGGAGACCGGUCCCUCUGGGCGAAAACUGCCCAGACCGGGCUGAUGUAAAUUUGAGUUUUUGGGGGCCUAUGUGGAUUUUGUUACCUUAGAGGCUUUAGGCAGCCUCUCCUCCCCUCUCACUCUCAUUUUCUCUUCCUCACACUCUUCCUACACUUCUAGAGAGAGAAAGGGAAGGAGAAGAAGGAGAAGAAGAGGAGAAGGAGCUUGCUUGGAGGCCUUGGAGCACCAUCUUCUUCCUCAUUUCUCACCUUUGGAGGCUUGGAGCUUGCUUUUGGAGCUUUGUGGUGGAUCAAUCUUCAACCCUAGAAGAUUUUGAGCUUGGAUUGGAGCAUCCUAGAGGUAAGUGGCAAGGUUCCUUCCUCUAGAUUUUAGUUUUGGAGCUUUUUGCUUGUCUAAACCCUAGAUUUUGGAUUUUAGGGUUAGAUUUGGGGAUUCUUGAUUUGAGGCUUCUUGAUCUCAUUUGAAUGGUUUGGAACCUUUAUAUAGGUUAGAUUGGAAGACCCCUACCUUCCAUUUGAAGAUUAAGAGAGGGUUUUUCACUUGAGGUGAGUUUUUCCCAACCCUAGCUUGAGAAGCUUAAUGAUUGGCUAUUUGCUCUUCGUUUCGUUUGGGUGACCCUAUUUUUGAUGUUUCUAGGGUACUAGGAAGCUUGUGGAUACCUUCGUUCGGCGAAAUGAAGAAGUCGAUUUUGGUGGGUUUGACUUCAUGAAAAUGGGGCAAAAUGGCCCCUAUGCCUUCUAAACUUUUUGUAAAGUAUUUUUGAAUGCAAAUUCAUGCUAAACAUGAUUUAUAUGAAUUUUAGAGCACUUAACAUGCAUGCCUCAUGUAUCGAAAAAUUUGUACUCCAUAUAGUAGAGCUACAUGCAUUGUGGAUAGUGUUUGGUUUUGCGAGUUGAGAACAUGUCUCCAUGCUAGAAUUGAGUGAACUAUGCAUCAUGAACAUAUUAAUGCCAUGCUUGGGACUCGUUGAACAAAAGUGUCAUAAAAGGGCACUUGGAAUUAGUAAAUUAUGAAACUGUAACAUAGAGACACAUUGAUAGGCCACUACUUAUCCGCUACAUUCCAUGUUAAAGACAUGACGACAUAGGGAUAGGCCAUUGUGAUACUUGACACAUUCCAUGUUAUUAGACAUGAGGACUUGGUACUUGCGACAGAUCGUUUGACUACUUGCCAUUGUGCUCAUUCGCACAUGCUUGUCAGGGUUGCUCCCUACAAGCCGGCACUCCGGAGAUAGCCAUCGCGAUUCAUAUUCGCCGUGCGGGAUUGGGCGCCGAAGUGGAUUGCCGUGGGCCAGGCUCAUUCCUAGGGUGGGGAUGAUGACUACCACGGGGCCAUUAGGCUCGGCACCGGCCAGACAGCCUACGGGUGGGUCUCAGGGCCAUAGACAGCCUUCGGGUGGGUCUCUUCAGAUUUGACUUUGAGUAUUCAUUACGACAUAUGGACAGAUGAUGACUUAGAAUAUUACUUGGAUAUUGACUAGAAUAGUAAACAACGGAACUUUACUAUUUCGCAUUGUGAACAUUAUGAUAGUGGAGACUUUUACUUGAUGCAUAGUGGCUUUCAUACUUAUACUAUUCAUGCUAAGUAGAGAUAUCAUGUUGUAGUAAGUUACAUUUUGCUUACCUUUCGCUUUUCUACAUUUAUAGUUACUGACCUCUUUUGUAGCUUGGGCCUUGUGGUGCAUUCACUGAAGUCAGUAAUUGCCCACUAGGAACUAUUUUUAAUAGUUCUCACACCCCCGUUUUAUGGUUUACUUUUCAGAGCCUUCGGCACCGGCGGAGGCACGGGAUCACGGCAAGGGGAUCGCUUAGCUAGCUAGCGAGGAGCGGUACUUUGCCUAGGUGGUUUACUCUUUCUUUUUGUAGUUGAGAGAAUGAGAGGUUUUUGUAUCCAUGCAUAGAGACCACCUAUGUAUCUACCUAUAGCACUCGUAUCUGGGAUUUUCUUGUAUCGCUUUAUGUUUUAAUUAGUGAAUUUACAGUUUUAUCCUUAUUCCUUAUUGUAGCAUUUAGACAUUUAUUAUGCUCUGAUACUCCUAGAUGUCUUUUAUUAUUGCUUUUAUUAUUGUUGUUUUAGACGCCUUAUACGUUUUAGACUUAUGGCGGGUCUGGGCACGCGCCGGGCGGGCUUUCGCUGGGUCCCGGGGCGUGACAGUGGAGGGUAAUGUUGCAGUGCUUGUUUCUAAAUUUUGUUUUGCAGAAUACAAAAGAUAAUCCUCCCAUGCAAUACCUUUUUUAAUGGCAAUCUUGGGGAGAAUGUAAUCGAGGAUGAACUCAGAAGUCUUUUCAGUGUGUAAGGGUUCUCCUUGCCGGUGAGUCCUUCGCCGCAGAUCUCCUCGCCAACGAGUUUAUCACUACCGAUCUCCUCGCCGCCAAGAUUCUUAUUGGCAAUCUCCUCUCUGACAAGCUCUCCACGGUCCCGAUCUCCAAUCGAAGAAAAAUCUAUAAAAAAAAGGGUCAGAAAAGCUAAAUUUGGUUGUGAAUUUUGAUUUCUUUUUAAAUGAUUCAACAAUCCAUGAAUAAUUAGGAGACCACAUGUGGGUUUUUCUUUUCUAGUUUAAUUAAUCUAUGGGUUUUUCUUUGGAGUAGUUUGGUAUAUAGCACGAGAUGGUGAAUUUUCCUUUUCAGGGCAUUUUUCUUUUAGAAACUCUUCAUAACCGGUCCCUUUAUAGUAGGAAACCUAAAUGAUAGGGAAAGGGCAAUUUGUAGUACUUGCGAUUAUACAGAGUUGCCUUUGCACUAUAUACAUGAUUUUAAUAGCUGUCGAAAGGAGUUGGAACAUUCUGUUUAUUAAUUGUAUUAUUCAGUAUACUAUUAGAAGAAUUAUUAGAUGUACGCGUUAGAUUGAAACUGCUUAAAAUAAGGUUUGUUUGGAGUUAUCUAGUUAAUUUCAAAGUCGUUUGCAAGCUUUAGAAAUUCGAUCCCUUUGCCUCGUUUUGAAAACCUCUAAAUUGCCUUCAAUAUUUGCAAUGAUUUUUUAAGUUUUUUCAGAAUUUUUUGAAUAGUAAUAUCAGUUACACAUUCAUGGAUAACUUCUAUUUCCUAUUAACAAGUCGACGAAAACCAACUAUUGAUCUAAGCAGUUCAUGAACUUUGAUGGUAACAGAAAAGUAGCUACUGCAUCUCGGUGGUUACCACCAUGUAUUAUGCCACUUAGAGAACAAUGGAACCUGAUGAGUUUUAGUUUGGAGUGUAGUGAGUGCUAAAAUUGCUGGAAAUUAUAGUUGGGUACUUAUGACUACAAAUAUGAUGAGGGUCUCUUCAAGUAAAUAAUUAAUUAAUAUUAAAAAGCUAGUAUUGUUCAAUCACUUGAAAUCUGAUGAACAAAUUUGUACCUAGUAGUGAAGGAGACGGGAAGUUUGUACAUAAAUAGAGAAAUAGAACACCCAACUUUGAUUUUUUCUUUUUUUAAUAAAUUUUGCUCACUUUGAUUUGAAUCAUUCCUGUAAUUGCUGAUUUUAAUGCAAUCUCCAAUUCAAAUGAUGAAAAUAACUCAAAUCAAAGUAAGCAAAAGUGAAAGACAUUGUCAGAUGCAAUAUUCCAAAUAAGUAUGCCUGCCAUUAAUAAUAGAGUUGUGGUUUAUGAUAAUAGAGCUGUGGUUUAUCUUUCAGCAUGAAUAUUCCAAAUAAUUAAAAUACAUGUCACGCCCCGGGACCGGCGGAGGCCCUCCCGGUAGCGUGCCCAGACCCGCCAUAUGUCUACACAUAUAAGGCGUCUACAAUAACAGCGGAAAUAAAAGCGAGAAAUAAUCUAUAACUAGAGAUAUCAGAGCAAGUAUGAUUCUAUCAUCUAUAACAAAGUAAAUGGAAAUAAUACUAAACAAUAAAAGUGAAGCAUAGGUAGUACAAUAACAUCUCCAAAAUAGUACACAAAAGGGGUGGUCUCUAAUACACUGGAGCAACUCUUAACCUCUCCAAAAUAAAAAUACAUCGAGAGGUAGACCACCUAACAACUCGUCCCUCACUGAAGAGCUAGCUGGAAGCAAUGCCCUUCCCUCGGUCCCUGGCCUCACCCGGCGUGGAAGGCUCUGAAAGAAAUCAUAAAACAGAGGGCGUGAGAACUAUAAUUUAUAGUUCCCAGUGGGCAAUUACUCGCAUGAAUACGUAAAGUAUAAAAGCCAUGUCAUCAAGUAAAGUCUCCACUAUUCAUAAUUUGCACAAUGCGAAAUAGUAAAGUCCGUUGUUUACUAUUCUAGUCAAUAUCCAAGUAAUAUUCUAAAGUCAUCAUCUGUCCAUAUGUCGUAAUGAAUACUCAAAGUCAAAUCUGAAGAAGACCCACCGCGAAGGCUGUCUAUGGCCUGAGACCCACCCGUAGGCUGUCUGGCGCGGUGCCGAGCUAAUGGCCCGUGUAAUCAUCAUCCCACCCUAGGAAUAGCCUGCCCCACGACCACUUGCGCCCAUCCCGCACGGCGAAUAUGAAUCUGCGAUGGCUAUCUCCGGAGUGCCGCUUGUAGGGAGCAACCCUGACAACAUGUGCGAAUAGCACAAAUGCAAGUAUGUCAAACGAUCUGUCGCAAGUACCAAGUCCAAUGUCUAAUAACAUGAAUGUGUCAAGUAUCACAAUGGCCUAUCCCUAUGUCGUCAUGUCUUUAACAUGGAAUGUAGCGAUAAGUAGUGGCCUACAAUGUGUCUCUAUGUUACAGUUUCCAUAAUUUAUCUAAUUCAAAGUGCCCUUUUAUGACACUUUUGUUCAACGAGUCCCAAGCAUUGGCAAUUAAUAUGUUCAUGAUGCAUAUUCACUCAAUUCUAGCAUGGAGACAUGUUCUCACUCGCAAAACCAAACACUAUCCACAAUGCAUGUAGCUCUAACUAUAUGGAGUACAAAUUUUUUCGAUACAUGAGGCAUGCAUGUUAAGUGCUCUAAAAUUCAUAUAAAUCAUGAUUUAGCAUGAAUUUGCAUUCAAAAAUACUUUACAAAAAGUUUAGAAAGGCAUAGGGCCAUUUUGCCCCCAUUUUCAAUGAAGUCAAACCCACCAAAAAUCGACUUCUCUUCAUUUCGCGCGAACGAAGGUGUCCACAAGCUUCCUAGUACCUAAAACCAUCAAAAAUAGGGUCACCCCCAAACGAAACGAAAACAAAUAGCUCAAUCAUAUAAGCCUUCUACUAAAGGAUUGGAAAAAACUCACCUCAAGUGAAAAACCCUCUCUUAAUCUUCAAAUGGAAGGUAGGGUCUUCCAAUCUAACCUAUAUAAAGGUUUCAAACCAAUCAAGAGAGAUCAAGAAGUCUCAAUCAAGAAUCCCAAAUCUAACCCUAAAAUCCAAAAUCUAGGUUUAGAACAAGCAAAAAGCUCCAAAACUAAAAAUCUAGAGAAGAAGUUGCCACUUACCUCUAGAUCUGCCCAAUCCAAGCUCAAAAUCUUCUAGGUUUGAAGAUUGAUCCACCCACAAAGCUCCAAAGCAAGCUCAAGCACUCCAAAGGUGAAAAUGAGGAAAAGAGGUGGCUCCAAGGCCUCCAAGAAGCUCCUUCUCCUCUUCUUCUCCUUCAUUCUCCUUCCUUCUCUCUCUAGAAGUGUAGGAAGAUGUGAGCAAAGAAAAUGAGAGUGAGAGGGGAGGAGAGGCUGCCUAAAGUCCUCUAAGGUAACAAAAUCCACAUAGGCCCCAAAAACUCAAAUUUACAUCAGCGCCGUCUGGGCAUUUUCGCCCAGAGGACCGGUCUCCCGACCUGGGACCGGUCUCUUCAGCCGCCCCCGAAAAUCCAACGUCGGGAACCGUCCUCUCUCUGCGCGGGACCGGUCUCUCCCCGCGCAGAACGCGCUCGGGACCGGUUCUCGACUGCCAGGACGCGGUUUCCUUGCCGGCUACGCAGCACUGUUCACUGGGGACCGGUCUCUCCUAUCAGGGACCGGUCCUGAGAGUAAAAAACUCUUAGGACUCUGCCAAGCUCUCGAGAUCGAACUUUUAAGGCCGGUAUAACCAUCGACGCCCUCCACCAAGUUGGAAAAGUUCGGAAUAAUAAAUCGAACACUCGAACCUCGCACUUUGGCAAAGGUCCAGUUUGCUACAUCCCCCUGAGAGAAUUAUGAUCCACCAAAAAGCACAAUUAAAAAUUAAACCAAGAGAUACCCUAGGUUGUUCUUAUCCAACUAGUAAGUUAGCCAAGAUUGCCACGACAUAUGAUACUUAGGAUCCAAUCAAAUUGAAAUCAAAUGAAACUCAUACGAUCUAUAAAUAUAAGGAAAAAUACAAACCGCCUUAACAUAAAACUGCAUCUUUAAAUGAGCACCUAGACUUGAAAUUUUUGACUUCACUACCUAACACUCUUUUUUUUUUCACAAAUUCCAUCAAUUUCAUAUUGAGGCUUAACAGUUUCCAGCGCUACAAGUUAUAGAAUAUUAGUGUCAAUUAAAAAAUUCGACAAGUUACAGAAUUUUCAGUUUAAUUAAUCAUCACAAUUGAAGACAGAGAACUCCUAAAUUAAAUUAUGCUAAUAAUUGUACUCUUCAGAUGUACUUGUUGUUUUGAGUGUCUAAGCACAUAAAAAAAAAUCUUCACAUCAUCGAAUUAACAACAUCGAAUGCAAGCAUCAUAACAUAUAAUAUAUGAAACGUAUUGUCGCACUGAUCUUGUCGAUUUAAUUAGCGGAAUCGGCGUUAAAUUAACAAAAUCCCCAAUAUAAUGAGCUAAUUAUAAUUCAAAAUCAAAACCACUAUAACGAUACCUGUUGUAAUACCACACAAUUGUUUUAUGAUACAAUCGCCAUCGACAACUUCAUUUUUUAUUUUAUUUUUCUGGGUGAUUUCAUUGGCUGAGAAAAGUGAUCGAACCAAUAACAUGCGCUAACAACAUCAACAUAUCAUUCAUAACUACAUUCUCUGAGUAAAAUCAUCAAACACACUAACAUGCGCAACAACAAGAGCAAAAAAAUUCGAUCCUAUAUUGAGCAAAUUUUUCACGGCGACCUAGUGUUAUCCUCCCAAAACGCCGUGGUAGACGAUCCCGUACCCUCCUUCUCCGAUCACGUUCUCGUCGGAAACGAGUUCGUGGCGCCUCGAGCUCUCGUAGAGGUGUACCAUGCCCCACCCCAAUGCAACACCUCCGGGCGUCGUGGUCGCCGCUGCCCGCCACGACGAAGGGCUCGCCUCUCCGCGGCGCGCGGCGGCGGCUGCGCGCGUGGGGUGGCGACCUGCAGCGGCGAGGAGGAGGAGGGGAGGGGGGAGGGGAAUCAGGGGAGAUCGAGGUUGUGUGCGGUGUUGAAGGGAGAUCGGAGGGUGAUCGGUGUCGGAGAGGGAGAGAGAGUGUUGGAGGUGGUGGGUGUGAUCGUGAAGAGAAGGCGCGCGUAGGGAGGGGGUUUUGUGCGGUGGGGGAGGGGGGAAGGGUGCGUGAGGUGGGGAGUGGGUUUUGAUCGUACUCUUUAUUUUUUUAUUUUUUUAGGCUGUGCUUUAGUUGGGAUCAAAACAUUUUUUUUGGGUUGAAUUUUAGUUUGAAUCAAAAUUUUGAAUUAAUUUCAGUUUGAAUCAAAAAUUUUAAAAAAGUAAUGCUAAAUCUGUAAUAAGAAAUUGGUUGUAAUUUUAUAAGUUAUACUAUCAUUUUAUAAUUUUUUUAUUCUAAUACUAGAAUUCAUAUAUUAUAUUUCGUAAAGUUAUGAGCAUUUUUUUAACAAAAUCAAGACUUACUUUAGACAUAGGUUUUAAAAUCUGUAAAUUAAGUCAGUUUAUAUUUUUGACUACAAAAUAUUAAUUAAUAUAAACCAUCCUUAUGGAGUUCAGAUAUAUAUAAGUUUCUAUAAUUUUUGGCCCAAUGCCACCCACUACUUAAUGUCGAAGCUCGCAUGCCAGUGAGUCCAAGAUAUGAUAGAUCCAAUUAGCAUCAAUACAUUUCUCGGUUGCUUUUCUUGCAGUAUCUUUGAAAAAAAAUUUUAAAAAAAAAAAACAGAAGUAAAAAAAAAUCAUUUAGUGCGAAAUAAUAUUGCCACUUAAAGUUAAUUAAUUGAUGGCAAAUUUUGUAUUGCCACUUAAAGUUAAUUAAUUGUGUGCAAAAUUUUUUUAAUCGCGCACUAUAGGUAACCAAAUAAUGGCGAUAAAAAAUCAUUUAGUUGGCGAAAGUUAAUUAUUGCCACUUUUAAGUUAAUAAAUCAAUGGCAAUUUUUUUUAUCGCCAUCAUAAAUAACGAGUUAGUGGCGACAAAAUAAUUAUUUAGUGGCUGAAAGCAGUGUCACCACUUUAAUGUUAAUUAAUCAGUGCCAUUUGUUUAUCGCCAUUGUAGAUAACCAAAUAGGCGAUAAAAUAAUCAUUCAAUGGCAAAAACUAUCAUUGCCACUUUUAGUUAACUAAUCAAGUAGCAAAUUUUUUAUUGCCACAAUACAUAACUAUAAGUGUGCGACAAAAUUUAUCGGCCACAUUAUUUUUGCCACCAAUACUGUCAAUUCUUGUAAUGCUCAUCAAUUCCAUCCCAAAAGUUCAUAAUAGAAAAAUCCCAAAAUAAACUCUAGUUUCCCAAAAUAAACUAGGUUAAUCCCAAAUCUCAUGCAAAUCUCUCUAAUAAAGAUUAAGAAAGUUUCUAUACCUCAAAACAAGUUCAACUUGAGCCAUCAUGUGCUAUGGUUGAAGUUUGAAACCGCCAUCACAAGCUCUUCUCAUCACCCUCCAAGAUUCCAAGAAGCAAGCAACCAUGAGAAGAGGAAGAAAAGAGAUCAAUCUUCAAAUCCAACAGAUUAGAGGAAGAAAAUCUAAGAGAAAGAGAAAAACCACCUCUAGUCCCUCUCUCAAGCCUCAGCCACUGAGGAACAAAUAGGGAUGAAGGGGUAUAUUAAACACAUUAUAAACAAUAUCCACCCAACCCUUCAAAACCCCAAAAAUUACAAACUCACGAACUGCAGUUUGUCUGGCGAGGCGUACCGAUACUCGGAGCGUACCGUACCGACUGCAGCAAAUCUGCUCAACCUGAGCUCGGUCAAGCCUUCACACUAAGGCGUACCGUACCUGCCGAUGCAGUACCGGUACUCCAACCCUAAAAUUUGCAAUUGCAGAUUUUGACGCUGAAAGCCUAUUCUCGCGCGUCAAAUAAGUUCAUAAACAGGCAGGUACCCAAGCAGCGCGAUCUCAAACAUGCAGAAUAAUUAAAAUACCAUUCUUACACUACAACCUUGCAAUUUGCAAAGUUCAGUGUUUACAAUUUACUACUACGAUCAAAUCAUGAUACUACAAGACGAAACAACCAUAGAGUAGACCAAACGAGUACCAAGUAGUGUGGCAAGAUACUGAACAUAUAAUCAUGAUAAACUAUACAAUCACUGAAGAGAAAAAGGUAAGAAGCACCGAGCAUGAGCUGCUGGACCGACUUCAGAUCGAAGUACUCACCUACAUUAAUACUAGUAGAAAGCAUCGAGCUCCAACCAUACUCCAAUAGCUACCUAGACUAUAAAAGAUCCUAUAGUGUCACAAUCAAUAUGAACAAACCCUAGGAGACAAUAGAAUAUCUAUCACGCACCCGAAAACCAACCGGGCAUUCGUAUCUUUACCGAAUCCUUAAACCACCAAAAAUACCCGCAACACAUUAUAACCCUUUCGAAUUCACGAAGUGCUCCAAAGAGUAACAAAGCUCACCAAACAUCACCCGCUGCCCCAAGACACACCUAUUUCGAGUCCGGGUAGCAACACACAAAACGAUGCAAGCAAGUACACUAAAGCAUAACCUAACUACUCGGAUUCGCGAAAAAUGCCAAUUUGGUUCCAGAACCCACAGUCACAACCUUCCACUAUCUCCUAACACUAUGAACAGCAAGGUGACCUGUAAUAAGGCCCAAACACUGUUACAAAUACUGCAUUCCACCAAUCAACGAUCUACUGGCCAAACGCCUGGUUACUUUUUUGAGUUUGUUUCGCCGGACCGGUAAUUCGACAAGUACAUCAAACGGAACCCGACCCUCCCAGUUGUCCCAGGACACUCACCUUUGAGUAUUGAAUCGCCGCACACACCAGUAGUGCAAUUCGAGGGCAAAAACCCAAAAACUACCGUAUCAGAUUUUCGAAAAGUGCCUUUUCGGCUCAGGAACACGUUUCGGUCGCUUUGCUUGCCCGAACUUCAUGCCACAAGUCCGCAAACCAGAAAGCAAUGCUCACCUCCCACUACACACCAGUAGAAUUAACCUGUUUGUGCGAAAAUGGGCCAAAAAGCAUAUUAUAACACAUUGUAGGCACACAGUUUUCAUGCUGUUUGCCACAAUAUUCGAACCAAAGUGUCCCUUAGGCUUCGUACAGCAUUACAAACAUUCUAAAGCCGAACCCAUGCUGUUCGAUGACAUCCAGAUGCAAAAUAACUCAUUGCGGCAUUUCGCCAAACACUCGAUGACAGUAUUAAUAUACAAAAAUAAUUGUUCGAGAAGUACCGUCGAUGUAACCUGGGAUCUGAAAGAGAUACGCUUGGAAGUCUCGAUGCACCAGAACCUGUGCUACUGUCCGAAGAAAUCAGAGGUCGAGACCGCGAACCAGGAGGCAAUGUGAACUAGAGUUUCCAAAUGUUCCCGAUGCACGACAAUAAAAUUGGUCAACUGAGGGUUCUAAACUAACGACAAAGGUAAACCACGGAUGUCCCCAACACCUUUGAGACGCGUGCUCACCUCUCAAGAUGUCACGUGUCAAGGAAGCUUCGGAACAAUGAUGAUGAGCGCAAAACAACUCUAGGUCGUCGGACUAAAUGUUACGCCUGGCCCCAGCGGAAGCUUACUAGUAUACACAGACCCGCCGUAUGCACAAGGCAACCCGAUGCACACAAGUUUCUACAUUAAAACAUUCAUAGAGAUAACAAGGAAAUAAGUUCUAGCAUGGUAAUUAGAGUAUAAUAACUAAACUGAGCAAAUAAACUACAACUAGAAGAAUAAUAAUAACAAUAAAAUAAAGAAAGAAUCACUAUCCAAAAUAUACAUCUAGUAACCCAAAAGAAUACAUCACAUGGUUUCAUAAGGUGCUCUCUACAAAAAGGUCACAACAUCUCUCCUAACUAAACAAAAGAAAAGGUGUCCACCUAAGGAUAUCUCCCAACGCAUUAGCUAGACACGACUCUCUUACCAGCGAUCCUAGCCUCACGCCGUUGUGGAAGGCUUGAAAUAAAAACAAACAAUAUAUGGGGUGAGAACUAUUAAUCAAUAAUUCCUAGUGGUAAGCCGCCGAGAAACGCGAAUUACACCACUAGGUCAACUAAGGCAAAAAUAGAGAUGCUAAUAUUAUAGCAUGAUUACUUGCAAGAAUUGAAGAAAUUCGUGUACUGCUGUACUCCAAUAAUAAUGUUAUUUAACAUGUAUAAAACUAUGUAUCGCAUGUAUAAGCAUAAAGAGUGACUAAGCUAUAUGUCCAAAUGUCAUCACAUCUAGUAGCGAAGUUCAACAUUAAGUUUGUUUAUAGUUAUCCAAAUCAACAAGGACUCAUACAAGGUAAAAUCCUGGCUUGCGCCGUGCCUAAUGUCCCGUGGUAGUCAUAUUCCCCUGCUAGGAAUGACCUCGCCCAACGACAAUCCACUUCGCCCCCAAUCCCGCACGGGCGAGCAUGAUGUUUGCAUAGGCCAACUGUAGCACACUGGACGCUGUGCAAUUGCGAGGUUCGAGUGAUUGGAUGUGUUUCGAGCUUUUCCACGCUUGUGGAUGGUCGUAGAAUGUUUUCUGACCUAAAAGUUUGAAAACCUGAGUUCUGGACGAGUCCUGAGAGUUUUUACUCUCCGGGACGAGACCCUCGCUGGGAAGGACAGUCCCCCCCGAACAGCAUUGCGGCACCCACUCUGAGGCAAACCGACCCCUGGCGGAAGAGACACGGUCCCCGAGCGCGUGCACGCGGGAGAGACCGGUCUCAUGCGGGGAAAGACCGGUUCCCGAGAAUGUUGGAUUUCGGGGCAGGCCGAGAGACCGUCCAUGUCAGGGAGACCGGUCCCUCAGUCCGAAACUGCCCCAGUCCAGACUGAUGCAAUAUUGGGAAAUUGAGAGCUCUCUGGAUUUUUGUACUAGAGGGCCUACAUGGCCAUUUCAACCUCCUCUCCUCCCUCAUUUCACAUCUCCCUUUGUUUUUAGAGAGAGAAAAGAAGAAAGAGAAGAAGGAGAGGAGAAUGAGAGCUUGCUUUUGGAGGCUUAGUAUGGACCAAUCUUCAACCCUAAAGACUUAGAGCCUUGAUUGAAGCUCCCGAAGAGGUUGGUAGCCCCAUUCUCUCCGUCUAUAUUUGAUUUUGUUGCUUUAUGGUAGAUGAAACCCUAGAAUGGAAUUUAAGGUUGAUUUUGGGCGUCUCUUGAUCUAGGCUUUUGAGGCUCAAUUACUUGGUUAGAAUCUUCCAUUAGAUCAGAUUGAAGGGAUCUAGCUCUCUUUUGAGCUUGAGAGAGAUUUUCUACUCUCUAGGUGAGUUUUUGCCCCUUUGUUGUGGUAUGUUGAGGCUCAGAAUUGCUAUGUAACAUUUGUUUAUCUCUUCGCUCCUUACCUUUAGGGUAUUUAGAGAAUUGUGACAACUCUAUUGGCGAAACGAAGGUUUUCGAGACGUUCGGUGUUUGAACCUAGCCUAGCAUAUGAGAAAUCUCAUAUCCGAUUUUUAUGGCUUCGUAAAGUAGAAAUUCAUGCAUUCUAUGAUAAAUGUAUUAUUAUGAAUUUUAAGAAUGCUUAAAAUGCCUAUGUUACAUACAUCGUAUUUUUGGACCCCUAUUAAAUAGGGAACUUGCAUAUGAGGCUUAUGUGUGCAUUAGCAUUCUUAGGGAAGACUUGGUUUCUUGUUUAUAUAUAGAAUUGAUCUAUGUAAAGUGCCAUUGACUUAAACCCUAGUUGGACAUGGAAUUAUUAUAAUGCCAUAAAGGGGCAUUCGACAAAUUGACAUGUGAAAUUUGUGACGAAUAUCAUAAAGCAGCAUUGAGCUCGGAUAUAUGUGAACCUAGUAAUAGGCCAUUCGAGAGAUUUGGAACUUGGAACAUGCUUGAAUAUAGAAUUUCCUAAGUGUCAUGAACGGGCACUAGACUAUAGUGAAUAUUGAAACUUCACAUUGUGAUAUAGAAUAGAUCAUUGAGAUGCUUGUGACUUUUACCAUGUAGAGACAUAUGAUUGGGUGUUUGAGACGUGACACAGCUUGCUUGCUAUUGUGCUCAUUCGCACAUGCUUGUGAGGCGCUCCCUAACAGCCGCACUCCGGAGUUGGCCUACGCGACUUUAUGUUCGUCGGCGGUAUCGAGAAACCUACGGGGUCAGGAGGGAUAAACUCAUUCCUAGAGUGGAAUGUUGGAGCUACCACCGACAUUUAGAUGGCACAACUGACUACACUAUGUAGGUCCUCGAACAUGUUGAAUACAUGAUAUUGAACCGAAAAAUGACUAUCACUACUAGAUAGGCUUAGUAGUUUGAUUACCAUCGACAUGCUUAUAGCAUAGUGUUGUACUUGUAGUAUACAUGAUAGUCUUAUUUGUUGCAUCAUAGUAUACUGCUGGCCAUGUAGAAGAACAUAUUCAUCAUACAUUGAUAUAGUGGAUCAUGAUAGUACUUGCUCGUUAUGUUGGACAUACUAGUCGCAUGCUUGGACAUACUUCAUUUUGAUAAAGUAGAUGUUACAACACAUUUGACAUCAUUUUAUUGCAAUAUAGUAGCUUACAUUUAAUCAUGCUUUCAUAAAUGCAAUCCAUUUAUUAUUAUUGUGUUUUGGACUUACCCUUUUCUUUGGGCCUAGUGUGCAUUGAGCUGAGGUCAGCAAUUGCCCACUGGAACUAUAAUUUAUAGUUCUCAACCCCUCUUUUUCCUUGAUAUUAUUUCAGAGCCUUCCACGCCGAGAGAGCUAGGACCGCGAAAGGGUAUCGCCUCGAGCUAGCUUGGCUCGAGGGACGCGUUGAUAGUGGUCACCUCUCGUUGUUUUUUUUUGAGAGUUGAGAGCUGUAACAGUGUAAUAGAGACCAACCGCAUUUUGUGUACUUUUUGGAGAUGGUUAUUGUAUAACCCUUAUUUUCUCUUUUUUACUUAGUUUUCCAUCUACUCUUAUCAUAGAUUAAGUUGUGUACUUGCUCGAUAUCUCUAGUGUAGAUUAUCUCUUGUUUUUAUUUCCGCUGUGUGUAGAACGCCUUAUAUGUGUAAGACAUAUGGCGGUCUGGGCGCGCUAAACCGGAGGGCCUCUGCCGCCCCGGGCGUGACCAGAUUAAUUUUUCAUCAGGCCUAGGUAGUCUAGUGGAUCAGAAAUCCCUAGCCGUUGGUUUGACUAUAGGAUAUAGUCUCAUGAAGACGAAAAAUCUAUUCGACAUUGUGAGCGAAAAGUAUUUUGAUUGGGUUUUAUGACAACUCAAAAAGCUCUAACAAAGUUAGAGUUUUAAUCGGAGUGUAUUGGCUUCUAAACUCCCAGAGGGUUACUUGGCNNNNNNNNNNNNNNNNNNNNNNNNNUCAGACUAGAUCGUUAUGCUAGUGAUUAUACCAUGUUAGAGACUGAUGAUGGAUACUUGACGACAUCGACUAUGCUUGCUUGCCAUUUGUGCUCAUUCGCACAUGCUUGUGAGGGUCGCUCCUUUCAAGCCGGCACUCCGGAGUUAGCCUACGCGACUUAUGUUCGCUCGUGCGGUAUUGAGAAGCCUACGGGGUCGAGUGGGACAGACACAUUCCAAGAGUAGGGAUGUUGGGCUACCACAGCACUUAGGCGGCAAAGCUGGACUACCUUGGUAGGUCCUUAAUUGGAAAUGGAAAUCGGCACAGUGUUGAGAAUGAAUAAUCACUACUAGAUAGGCUUAGUAGUUGGAUUACUUGACAUGCUUACGACAUAGCAUUGAGAUAUAUAGUGUACUUGCCUGUUUCAUUCAUUGCAUCAUAGUAUACUGGGUGCUUUGAUAGAGCUUACUCUCUUUUUGCAUUGACAUAUUGCAUCGCGAGUUUACUUGUUUAUUAUGUAAGGUAUAUUAGUUAUGCAUUGGACAUAUUAUCUUAUGAUAGCGUAGAUGUACACCACCAUGACAUCAUGCUUACUUGAGACAUAGUAGUAUAGCAUUUCAUUUUAUGCUUUCUUUCAGCAGUUCUUAUACUCGGCUCUUUAUUGUUUAUUAUUUGUCGUUACUUACUCCUUUUUUUGUGGCCUAGUGGUUCGCAUUUGGAGCUAGAGGUCAGAAUGCUAAGUAGAGAUAUCAUGUUGUAGUAAGUUACAUUUUGCUUACCUUUCGCUUUUCUACAUUUAUAGUUACUGACCUCUUUUGUAGCUUGGGCCUUGUGGUGCAUUCACUGAAGUCAGUAAUUGCCCACUAGGAACUAUUUUUAAUAGUUCUCACACCCCCGUUUUAUGGUUUACUUUUCAGAGCCUUCGGCACCGGCGGAGGCACGGGAUCGCGGCAAGGGGAUCGCUUAGCUAGCUAGCGAGGAGCGGUACUUUGCCUAGGUGGUUUACUCUUUCUUUUUGUAGUUGAGAGAAUGAGAGGUUUUUGUAUCCAUGCAUAGAGACCACCUAUGUAUCUACCUAUAGCACUCGUAUCUGGGAUUUUCUUGUAUCGCUUUAUGUUUUAAUUAGUGAAUUUACAGUUUUAUCCUUAUUCCUUAUUGUAGCAUUUAGACAUUUAUUAUGCUCUGAUACUCCUAGAUGUCUUUUAUUAUUGCUUUUAUUAUUGUUGUUUUAGACGCCUUAUACGUUUUAGACUUAUGGCGGGUCUGGGCACGCGCCGGGCGGGCUUUCGCUGGGUCCCGGGGCGUGACAGUGGAGGGUAAUGUUGCAGUGCUUGUUUCUAAAUUUUGUUUUGCAGAAUACAAAAGAUAAUCCUCCCAUGCAAUACCUUUUUUAAUGGCAAUCUUGGGGAGAAUGUAAUCGAGGAUGAACUCAGAAGUCUUUUCAGUGUGUAAGGGUUCUCCUUGCCGGUGAGUCCUUCGCCGCAGAUCUCCUCGCCAACGAGUUUAUCACUACCGAUCUCCUCGCCGCCAAGAUUCUUAUUGGCAAUCUCCUCUCUGACAAGCUCUCCACGGUCCCGAUCUCCAAUCGAAGAAAAAUCUAUAAAAAAAAGGGUCAGAAAAGCUAAAUUUGGUUGUGAAUUUUGAUUUCUUUUUAAAUGAUUCAACAAUCCAUGAAUAAUUAGGAGACCACAUGUGGGUUUUUCUUUUCUAGUUUAAUUAAUCUAUGGGUUUUUCUUUGGAGUAGUUUGGUAUAUAGCACGAGAUGGUGAAUUUUCCUUUUCAGGGCAUUUUUCUUUUAGAAACUCUUCAUAACCGGUCCCUUUAUAGUAGGAAACCUAAAUGAUAGGGAAAGGGCAAUUUGUAGUACUUGCGAUUAUACAGAGUUGCCUUUGCACUAUAUACAUGAUUUUAAUAGCUGUCGAAAGGAGUUGGAACAUUCUGUUUAUUAAUUGUAUUAUUCAGUAUACUAUUAGAAGAAUUAUUAGAUGUACGCGUUAGAUUGAAACUGCUUAAAAUAAGGUUUGUUUGGAGUUAUCUAGUUAAUUUCAAAGUCGUUUGCAAGCUUUAGAAAUUCGAUCCCUUUGCCUCGUUUUGAAAACCUCUAAAUUGCCUUCAAUAUUUGCAAUGAUUUUUUAAGUUUUUUCAGAAUUUUUUGAAUAGUAAUAUCAGUUACACAUUCAUGGAUAACUUCUAUUUCCUAUUAACAAGUCGACGAAAACCAACUAUUGAUCUAAGCAGUUCAUGAACUUUGAUGGUAACAGAAAAGUAGCUACUGCAUCUCGGUGGUUACCACCAUGUAUUAUGCCACUUAGAGAACAAUGGAACCUGAUGAGUUUUAGUUUGGAGUGUAGUGAGUGCUAAAAUUGCUGGAAAUUAUAGUUGGGUACUUAUGACUACAAAUAUGAUGAGGGUCUCUUCAAGUAAAUAAUUAAUUAAUAUUAAAAAGCUAGUAUUGUUCAAUCACUUGAAAUCUGAUGAACAAAUUUGUACCUAGUAGUGAAGGAGACGGGAAGUUUGUACAUAAAUAGAGAAAUAGAACACCCAACUUUGAUUUUUUCUUUUUUUAAUAAAUUUUGCUCACUUUGAUUUGAAUCAUUCCUGUAAUUGCUGAUUUUAAUGCAAUCUCCAAUUCAAAUGAUGAAAAUAACUCAAAUCAAAGUAAGCAAAAGUGAAAGACAUUGUCAGAUGCAAUAUUCCAAAUAAGUAUGCCUGCCAUUAAUAAUAGAGUUGUGGUUUAUGAUAAUAGAGCUGUGGUUUAUCUUUCAGCAUGAAUAUUCCAAAUAAUUAAAAUACAUGUCACGCCCCGGGACCGGCGGAGGCCCUCCCGGUAGCGUGCCCAGACCCGCCAUAUGUCUACACAUAUAAGGCGUCUACAAUAACAGCGGAAAUAAAAGCGAGAAAUAAUCUAUAACUAGAGAUAUCAGAGCAAGUAUGAUUCUAUCAUCUAUAACAAAGUAAAUGGAAAUAAUACUAAACAAUAAAAGUGAAGCAUAGGUAGUACAAUAACAUCUCCAAAAUAGUACACAAAAGGGGUGGUCUCUAAUACACUGGAGCAACUCUUAACCUCUCCAAAAUAAAAAUACAUCGAGAGGUAGACCACCUAACAACUCGUCCCUCACUGAAGAGCUAGCUGGAAGCAAUGCCCUUCCCUCGGUCCCUGGCCUCACCCGGCGUGGAAGGCUCUGAAAGAAAUCAUAAAACAGAGGGCGUGAGAACUAUAAUUUAUAGUUCCCAGUGGGCAAUUACUGACCUCAGCUCAAUGCACCACUAGGCCCCAAAAGAAAGGGGUAAGUAACGACAAUAAUAAUAAACAAUAAAGAGCGAGUAUAAGAACUGCUGAAAGAAAGCAUAAAUGAAAUGCUAUACUACUAUGUCUCAAGUAAGCAUGAUGUCAUGGUGGUGUACAUCUACGCUAUCAUAAGAUAAUAUGUCCAAUGCAUACUAAUAUACCUUAACAUAAUAAACAAGUAAACCUCGCGAUGCAAUAUGUCAAUGCAAAAAGAGUAAGCUCUAUCAAAGCAACCCAGUAUACUAUGAUGCAAUGAAUGAAACAGGCAAGUACACUAUAUAUCUCAAUGCUAUGUCGUAAGCAUGUCAAGUAAUCCAACUACUAAGCCUAUCUAGUAGUGAUUAUUCAUUCUCAACACUGUGCCGAUUUCCAUUUCCAAUUAAGGACCUACCAAAGGUAGUCCAGCUUGUGCCGCCUAAGUGCCUGUGGUAGCCCAACAUCCCUACUCUUGGAAUGUGUCUGUCCCACUCGACCCCGUAGGCUUCUCAAUACCGCACGAGCGAACAUAAGUCGCGUAGGCUAACUCCGGAGUGCCGGCUUGAAAGGAGCGACCCUCACAAGCAUGUGCGAAUGAGCACAAAUGGCAAGCAAGCAUAGUCGAUGUCUCAAGUAUCCACUCAUCAUGUCUCUAACAUGGUAUAAUCACUAGCAUCCCGAAGAUCUAGUACUAAAUCACAAAAUGAAGUUUCAACAUUCGUCACGCCUAGUGCCCCUUGAUGACACUUAGACAAUUUAAUGUUCAACAUGUUUCUAAAUCCCUCGAUGGCCCUAUCCACUAGGUUCACACAUGUCCCGAGCUCAAUGCUGCUUGAUGACAUUAGCUCUCUAAUUCACAUACAUUCUAGUUCGGUGCCUCUAUAUGGCAAUUUUUGUCAUCUUUCAUAUCUCAGAUAAAUUUAAGUUUAAAUGCAUGAAUCAAAACUCCUUUACACUAUAGAAGCGUGAAACCAAGUUUCACAUAGAAUGCUAAAUGCAAUCAUAGAUCUUUCAGGCAACCCUCUACUACAUAGAGGUCCAAAAUUUCAUCACAUGUAACAUAGGCAUUUUAAGCAUUCUAAAAAUCAUAAUAAAUACAUCUAACAUGAAUAUGCAUGCUUGUUCAAUUAACGAUACUCAAAUCUUCACAAUGGGAUUUUCUCAUUGUGUGGCUAGGUCAAACCCACCGAACCGUCGCGUAGUGCCUCGUUUCGCCGAACGAAGUUGUCCACGAGUCUCAAAAUACCCUAAAAGUAUUGAGCGAAGAGAUACACGGGCAUUACGAUCAACUAUAAAAUCAAACAUUAACCUAGAAGCAAAGAGGGCCAAAACUCACCUCAAGAGUAAAAAUCCUCUCCUAAGCUCGAAAGGAAAGCUAGAAUCCUUCCAAUCCAAGCCCAAGGAAGGUUCUAAACCAAAAAAUCUAGCUCCAAAAGUCCUAGAUUCGAAACGCCCAAAAUAAGCCUUAAAACCUCAUUCUAGGAUUCCAUCUACCAUAAGGCAUCAAAACCAAAAUCUAAAGGGAGAGAAUAAGCUACCAACCUCUUAGAAGCUUCCAACAAGGUUCAAAGUCCCCAAGGUCCAAGAAUCUCUCCUCCAACAAGCUCCAAACCCAAGCUCUAAUGGUGGAAACGCCUCCAAUAACUCAAAAAGAGCAAAAGAGGGGUUUAAUCUCUUAAAAACCAAAACAAAAUCAAAGAAAUCAAAGGGGAGAGUGUGGAGGGCUCCCUUACCUCUCCUCUUGCUGCUGGUGAGCUCAGGGGAGGCCUCAAGGGCGUGGGGGAUACAUAUAGACGGCCAUAAUUGCGAAAAACCCCCUGCAGUUCAAACUGCUCAGAUUCUGCCAAAGUGUACUGGUACACGGGAAAGUGUACCGGUACACAUCCUACGAAAAGGCAAACCCGAGGCUCGGGUUUGAAAUUCGCCACAAGUGUACCAGUACAGCCAUCAAAAGUGUACCGGUACAAAAUGUGUACCGGUACAGUCAUCGACCUGUCACCGGUUACACCUCGUGCAGAAAGCAAUCCGAGGGUAGCCUAAGUCCAACUCUUUAGUGACCUUAGCACUACAUAAAAUACUACAAUUCUCGGGAUUCGAACCAUAGGUCGGAACACUGUCAACGACCAACCAGAAAGUCUGGAAAGGCUCAGGACACUGUCCAAACACUCGAACCUCACAAUUUGGAAAGGUCCAGUGUGUUACAAUACCAAAGCUACAUAUGCAACACAUGCAUGUUAAAGGCGCUAAGUGUUAGCAAUACUUACAUGAAAUGGUAUAUAAGUAUGCCUGCCAUUAACUAGUCCAACAGUGAAGCCAGUAUAUCCUGCAAUUGCACCAUUGAUGGCACUAUGAGCUAGAAGGGUGCAGUAGACAUUGUCAGAUGCAAUGCUUGGAAUUGCAUGAAUCAUAUAUGUUGGAUCUAGAAAUGAAUAGUAGAAUAUAUUAUUCCGGUAAAGACGGUUCAAUGAACCAACGGCUAGAACUGAAAUAAAAAAGAAUAGAAAUAAAAAAUAAAAGAUGAACAGAAGAUCACUCAAUUUCAGCCUGAAAUCACGAAAGCUAAUUAAAAAAUAAUCUGAAAAGAUGCCCAUCCAAAAGUGACCUGUUAUGUGUUACAUUAUAGUUUUAAGUUCAAUUUAGUUAAUUAUCUAAUGUUUAGCUUAUUAUAGCUAGGAACCCAGUGAGUGAGUUAAACCUACCAGAUCAUAAUAGCUUCAAUUUGAACAUGUAUUAAGGACUAAGCUAUGAUAGUGAUUGUUUAACUGUUCCCAAAUUUAAUCUAUCAGACUCAGUGUCGGUUUCGAGUCGCACCUACUUUUAAAGCUAGAUUGGGUUUGGGUUAAGAAUCAAUUUGAACUAUACAUCAAAAUGUUGAAGCAAGACAUCUUAGGGCCAAUUAUUAGCACUAGGAAUGGCCACAAAGCAUGGAAAAUUAAGUGGCAUCCCAUGCUUGGCCGUUUCUAAUUCCAUUUUAAGAACUUAUAUGCUUUAUGCUGUUAAAUGCUCCAAAGCAUUUUAGAAUGUUACUUUUACUCUUUUCAUCAUAUUUCUUCUGUAUUUGCCUACAUUGUAGUAUAAAUAUGAAGGUCGUGUUGUUGUGAUUCUUAUUGACCAACUGCAAUGCCACUAUCAGACCGCAUAGUCUCCAAUUCUCAUUGACCAACUGCAAUUCUUAUUGACUUUACUACCUAAUCUUUCAAUUUGUUUGAUUUAGAGCUCGACUUUCUAUGUUAGUAUUGUUCAUAAUUCACAUGAUGUCAGAGUAGCUUUUCUUUUUUCACAUUUUUAUUUGCUAUUUUCUGUUUUUUCUCCUUCAAUUGUAUAUAGCAUUUGUUCUAUCUAAUUCAUGCACUUUUAAAGAAUAAUAUAUAUCACAGUUUUGACAAUUGUCUAUUUUGUUAAUAAUCCAUUAAAUCAAAAAUUCAAAAGGACAAAUUGUUUGUGUAUCCAACUAUGCAAAAAAUACUCCUACUUUGUUGUAUAUUGUUUAAUUUAAUAAUUUGCUUUUCUCUCUUUUGUUUGUUGCAGGAAAUGAAUUGUUGCUGAAAUAGGAGUUGAAGCAUUUUUUUUAUCGUUUUUAAGUAUUUUCUAUUUUCAAAGUUGAGAGAGUCAGGAAUGAUGUUGAACUGUAUAUCGAAUAUUAUCACUCUAUUGCUUUUGAAUUGAUUUUGCUAUUAUUUUGUUUUUAAGCUGUUGUGGAUCAGAAGACAAUUAGCUUUUUAAAUUGUUGUUAACAAAAUAAUUUUGUUUACUUUAAUAUUUUGUUUGUUAUUUUGUAUAUGUUCUGUUUAUAAAAUAUAAGCUAUAUAUUUUUAUAUUUAGUUUAUUACAUUUUUAUUAUUAGUGGCCAUUUAUCGCACAGUUGGUGGGGACAAAAAGUUGCCUUUUUAUCUUCAACUAAGGUGGCGACUGUGGUGGUUGCCACAUAAGGUAUACAUUUGGUGGUAAAAAUAUAUUGCCACCUUGUCUCCAUAAAAGGUGGCAACUAAUAAGGGCCACUAAAAAUUCAUAUUUGAUGGCGGCAAAACAUCGCCACGCUAUCUUUAAUAAGAUGGCGACUAAUAGUUGCCACUAAAAGUUAUAUUUGGUGGCGACAAAAUAUCGACAUGCUAUCUUUAAUAAGGUGGCGAUAAAAAAUGGCCACUGAAAGUCAUAUUUGGUGGCGACAAAAUGUCGCCACGUUAUUUUCAAAAAGGUGGCGAUUUUUCAUACUUCGCCACAAUUUCAUUUAGCGGCAACACUUUCGGUGGCAGCUUGUGGCGACUUUAAAAGUCGCCACCUUUUGAAAAGGUGGCAAUUUUUUAUAUAUAUGGUGGCGACAUUACUCACCACCAAUAUAUAAUAUUCUUGUAGUGGUAGAACACUCUUAUAGGUUGGAUUUUAAGCUUUUUAUCUUCGAUUUGGACUUUGGACAAGAUCUUCUUGGUCUAAGAUAUUUUUCACCUUAUUAAGUGUGUAAUUUUCAAAGAUUCUCGAAGUUGUCGUUUUGGAGUUUUUAACUCUUUAGAAUUUCUCUUAGUGUAACAAGGUGAAUUCUCGAAAUCCGAGGGUUACACUUCGUCCAGGAUCGACUAAUGGUCGAAUGGAUAAGAUUUGGAAAGGCUUAGGAUGCACGAAAAUCGAGAAGUGCAUUUGGAACGGAGUCCGCGAGAGUAAAUAAUGCAAUCUGCAUUUUUGGGCUGAGGUUGCUCUCGGGGACCGGUCUCUGGAGGUGGGAGACCGGUCCCAUCAGCUGAAGGCUGCGGGGUUGCUGAUGCAACCGGUCCCUGGCAGAUGAAGGACCGGUCCCAGCCUGCAACACCAGUGAGAAGAGCCGAAAAUUGGCUAAGUCCCGCGAGAUGAGCUCUUGGGAACCGGUUUCUCCGAGAGGAACCGGUCUCCGGGGGGACCGGUCCCUCAGGGAAAGACCGGUUCCCGAACGCGUGCUGUCUGGGAGAGCUCUCGGGGAUCGGUCCCUGGUCGGGGAGACCGGUCCCUCCGCGCACAGAACGCCCAGUGAGGGCUGUGUAAGAGGUGAAAAGUUGAGGGGCUUGUGGGGAUUUUGUUACAAUAUGAGAGGGUAUUAGAGGGGUCUCUCUCUCUCUCACUCCCUCACACUCUCCCUCACUGUCUCUCUCCCUCCCUCUGAUCGUGCAAGAGAAAAGAGAAAAGAGAAAAGAGAAAAGAGAAAAGAGAAGAGAAGAAGAAAAAGAGAAAGGAAAGGAGAAGGAGAAGAGGACCAAAGAGGAGAUCCUCUUCCUCAUCUUCAUCUUCAUCUUCUUCUUCCCCUUUGGAGCUCUUGGAGAGGUAAGCUUCCAAGCCCUCUCAUGGUAGAUCUUUGUAGAUGGGUUCUUAAACCCUAGAAAUGGUAUUAUUGGAACCCUAGCAUGCUAUUUAGAUGGUUUUACCCCAAAUCAUAGAUCGAUUUGGUGGAUUUGGUAGUGAUGGCAUUCUAGGGCAUCCAAGUGGGGUUUUUGUAAAUAGAUGAGUUUGAUCUCAUUUGACCCUUCGUAAACCUAAUUGGUAGGUAACGAAACACGUUGGUGAAGUCGGUUCGGCAAUCCUACAAGCCGUUGCGAAGAUAUUGAAGAAACGGACGCUUGGAGCUUCGUUUCCGCUUGGGAGGCCGAGGAAACGUCCAUAAAUCGUGAAAUCGGGUCCCGAGCACCGUUACGGCGAGGCGAAGACCGUUAGCACUUGGAACGGCGAUGCGGCGCGCUCUUGGAGAGUAACUGUGAGAUCGGGCCCAAACGGGUGCCGAGUGCCACGGGAGGCGGAUUGCAAGUGUCGACAAGCGAUCGGAAAAGCUAACUAAGGUGGGUUGUGCUUACCGAAGCGACUAGGUCGCCCUUUAUGUUUUAGCAAUGUAAUCUCAUGUUGAUGCAUGUGCAUGUAGACAAGAGCAAGUAAUGCAUAGUAACAACAAUGCAUAGAGUAAAAUGCCGAGUAGCAAGCAUGAUAGCGCGACAUGUAAAUAAUGCUAGCUAAUGCAAAGAAUGCAUACUAAUGAUAAUGCAUAGAUGGAAAUGCUAAAUAGAAUGCAUGAUGAAUAAAGAUGCAUAGAGUAAAUGCCAAGUAGAGAGCAUGAGAUAAUAACUCUAGUGUGAGUAGAGUUGAUUGGACAACUAGGUUGUCAGGUAGAUCGAGUGGCAUCUAACCUAGUGUUAAAGAACAUAGGUUAAACAAGUAAACCCAGAGUCGAACAAUCUAGGUGUGUGGCAUCGAACCUAGUGUUAGUAAACCUAGGUCGAACUAGUAAACCUAGAAAUGGACAUCUAGGUAAAGAGGACAAGAACCUAGCAAUGGUAACUAGGUUAAGUGAUAUGGACAUAGAACCUAGAGUGUUGUAACCUAGGUUGAUGAGUAUAGUGGUAUAGCCACUAGGAUGAGCUAGGUCGACAGCAUAGGGUUGGCUAUGGACCCUCGACCUGUGGAAAGUGGAUUCCGGAAUUCCAGGACUUGUGAUGACCCUGGUAAAGGCUAGGGCGUUUGUGCGACGAUUUCACCACCGAGCUUGAUACCGAGGGAGGAUUGGGGGCGAUCACAUGGAGAUCACCGCCCGGGGCUUGAACCAUUGUCUUGGCGUUUGUGCGACGAUUUUGCCACCGGAUGGUUAAGCCGUUUGAGGAUCAGACCGCCAGAGCAGACUAAAUCCAUGCUGGGUAAGUACGAUGCGGGUGCCUCCAGGUGGCUGAGUCUGACACGUACCGUUGUUGGGUGUGGUGCGAUCCGUUCGCCGCCAGACGGUGUGUCAGGUCUCGAGCUCACGCUGGGUAAGAGCAACGCGAUCGCCGCCAGAUGGUCAAGUCGUGCGACUUGAGCCGAGCUUAGCGUGUGCGAUGACUUCGCUGCUAGGGGGCUAUGAUAGAGAGAGGGAGGUAGGCUGAUGAGCAACCAGCGCGCGGACUAUCCGCGGACGAUUGACUUGAAGCCGAGUCGGGUGGUUAGCCUUGAUAGGGUAGAGGAACCCUCAUGAGCUAGAGAUAGAGGCUUGAGCUAAGGUAAUAGAGACCUUAGUAGCCAGUGGACUGAGUUGAGAUCCUAAGGUAAUGGACCUUAGAGUUGAUGAACCGAGCUAAGAGUAGCCAAGUAAAGAGUAGGAUCAAUGAUCUACUAGUCGUUGCAUAGAGUUGUAUGAUUUCCAUAUCACAUAUCGUGAGGCAUGGCAUGUAUUUCAAUUGAAUAUAUAUUUGUUGUAUAUUGUUGAACUAACAUGUUGCAUUGCCUUCUCGGACCUAUCGGUCGAGCUUUUUCCUUGGGUGGCCGUACCCACUGGGAACCAUGGGGUUGGUUCUCACCCCACGUGGUUUUGAGGUGUUUUCAGGUUGUGCGUGUGCAGCGCGUUGGCGCGAGGCGAGGGCGUAGCUCAGUAGAUAGCGCCCUACCACAGAGACCGAGGUAGCAGUACCCUGAGGCAGUCUAGCUUAGGGGACUAGAAGGCAAGGAAUCAAAAUGUAUCAACUUGUAAUCUAAAUGUUGUAAUAAUGUGAUUGUAACUUGGAAGUAAAAUGCAAAUUGAAACUGAGAUGUACUAAGUGAUGGGAAAAUGAAUGCACUAAUAGCAGUUAGUUUUAUGUAUUUGAUACUUCCUUAUGCAAUCUGGAUUGUUAUCCGUUCCUAGUUGGAACAUUCGUUGAUUGUUUAGAUUGCGACGCCUAGAACGUACAGGGGAGACUCUGUCUGCGUACAGGGGAGACUCUGUCCGCGUACAGGGGAAACCCCGGUCCGUUCGGCGAUCUGUCGUCGGCGCCGCGACCCGGUCCAAAUUGGCGGUUGGUCGCGGGGCGUGACACUUAGGGUGUUAGAAGUUCGGUAGACAACUUCGUUUGAAGGAACGAAAGCGUUCGGAGGUGAUCCGGUGGGUUUGACCUCACCGAAAUGGGUGAAAUCCCUCUAUGUCUCCUAUAUUGUUAUAGGACCUAAUUAUUGAAUAAUCAUGUUAUUUAUGCCAUGACAGAAUUUUAGAAUAUUGGAAAGACACAUGUUAUGUAUAACAUAAUUACAUACUCUAUGUAGUAGAGGGUUAUAGUAAUGACAUGCAUAUUAUGUCUAGUGUUGUGUUAAUUCCUCUUAUGCAUAUUCGAACAAGUAUGUUAGAGAUGAAUAAUAAUGACAUACGAAAUGCUUCAUGACGAAGGGAAUUAUGGAACGAGAUCUUGAGAGCUAAACUUAUGCUUGUUUUAGAUAAUGAAAAUUAUGGUCUAUUGUAUGAUAGCGGCAUGAUGUAAAACUGUAUGCACUUAAAUUAGAUGCAUAACUUUUGUGGGCAUUAUGAUUUGGCACUUGGCCUUUAGACCUAUAGAUGCAAUUCCGUGUUUUAGACACGAUGAGAUGCUAGAUGCAAUUCCGUAUUUUAGACACGAUGAGAUGAUAGAUGCAAUUCCGUGUUUUAGACACGAUGAUGGAUAUGAAUUGAUUACUUGACACCUACCUGUAGUAAAGAUGAUUGACAUACUUUAUUUAGUAAAGAUAAUUGACAUACUCCAUGUAGUAAAGAUAUGUGACAUACUCUUAUAGUAAAGCAUGUUGUAGUCAAAUUGUUGGGGAGAGUACUAGAGAAGAAUGGUUGGGUGAUACCGACUCUUUCUCGAGGAGUGGGAAGAGCUGAUUCUAUUCCGAAUUCCUAAACCCACAUUUGACACUUGAUUCCGUUUGUGAGAAACCAAACGAAUUCUCAGAUAUGAUUCUUAUUAUGACCAGUUUCACUGACGUCUGCUUUCGUCUCUCGUCCUUCGACCGCCUGCUCAAUGAGUUGAGUAGGCGGGCGAAGGACAAGUCCCAGGUACUCCGUCGGGCUUUCGCCCAUUGCGGAAAAUUCCCCUGUUUGAAUCGGAGUGUUGUAUAGAUAAAUAAAAAUUAAUCAUUUGUAUGGUAAUCUUAUACUCCAUGUAGUGGAGGUUCAUAUAGUAAAGCAUAAGUAUGUUACAUACUAUGAUUUCGUAGACAUCCUUGUGUUAUACCAAUGUUGAUAUUGUAGAUCAAUCUUUUUACACUGUAAUGGACUUAGAACACAUUGGUUUACGGGUGUAGCCCGUUAGGUUCAUAAAUGAGAUAUUGAACCAUUCUUUAUAAGAUAACGAAAUGUGGACUUGAGGGUACUUGAGACAAGUUGCAUAUUAGUAGGAACAACCAUGUCAUAAAGGGGCAUUUGAGUUAGUAAACGGUUAAACCUUUAUACUAUGACAUAGAGCUAGACCUUUGGGUUGCUAGUACUUAUACCAUAUUUGAGACAUGAUGACUGUAUACCUGAGAUGGAUGAUCAUGCUUGCUUGCCAUUGUGCUCAUUCGCACAUACUUGUGAGGGUCGCUCCCCACAAGCGGACACUCCGGAGAUAGCCAACGCGACACAAGCUCUCCCGUGCGGGAUUGGGCGACGAAAUAGGAUGCCGUGGAUGUAAUAGGCUGAAUUUUGAUUACAAGCUAAUUGUGAUCAAAGUGAUCACAAUAAUGCAAAAAUGGAAAUUAAGUAUUUCUAAACUUAAUUAGUAGCUUGAGAACACCAAGUGACAGGUUUUGGAAAUGUGAGAAUAGAUAAGAAUGGAAUCGAAGUAGCAAAAGAACUUCAAUUGCCAUUGUAACUCGAAUGCUGAAAUUUUAGUCGAUUUGGUCAAAAUGAUCAAAUUGAUGCCAAAUUUGAAAUUAAUUACUCCCAAAUUAAUUUGAUAGCUUGGGAUGUUCGUUUGGAAUGUUUUUGAAGUGUUGGAACGAAUUAGAAUGGAUUAGAAGUGAGAAACAAGGAAUCGAAGCAGCUGCUGCUGAGGCUGCUGGUGCACUGUGUACCGGUACACCAAGUGCCCAGUACCGAUACACAGUUGCGGGCUGAGGUUGACAGUACGGCAAUUUCUGAGAUUUAAGGGGCCAAAUUGCAAUUUUUCGAGCUUAUCAGCUCACCCUUAGUGGAAUACACUUGUCACUGAACCUGAGAGUCCAUUCCCUCUCUUCUUUAUCUCUUUUCUUAUCCCUUUUCUCUCUAAGUAAAGAAAGGGUUGAGGGGAAAUUGGAGUUGACAGCUUGGAGGGUUGUGAGCUGAGAAGAAAAUCUGAUGCAGACAGGAAUUUCUGUUGUUGGAAUUGCUGAACCACUUAACUAGAGCAUCUAAAUUAAGCUUGUGGAGCUGUCGAGUUGAGGUUACAGCUGAAGAAUACAAAGCUGAAAUGGUUGGUGCUGUUGGAGCAGCAGAGAAGGCUUUCGAAGCUGAAAGUAACCUGGGGAAGGUCUCUAAUUAAGGUAGGUUGAUUAAUACUUAAUUUUAAGUUGAGUUAAUUGCCUUCGAAGUGAUCUAAAUUGGGAAUCCUUGCUGCUAGUGCAUGCUGUCCUCGAAGCAAGCUGAAUUAAACCUUCAAGUUGGAGUUUCAGCAGAGAAGAGCUAAUUGGAGUUGCUAAAUCAUAUGGAAUAACAUCUAAUCAAGGUAAAUUUGAUUAGUGUUUCUGUCACGCCCCGGGCCGAUUUUAAAAGCCUUUUAAAAACAGAGUUGCGGAAAACGUGCCUUUUUUUUUUUUUUUUUUUUUUUUAACCUGGCCCACGCGACGUACAGACCCGCCACAAAUACAAAGUUUCUCUAUCCACUCGGAUAGAGUCUCCUUUGUAUUUGCACGGCGUACCAGCUAUACAACAGGAUCUCAACCACAACCUACAUUUACCAAUCAACAACUAAAACAUGAUAUGCAAUCCCAUACAGCUAACAAUCCUUAGAAUGAUGCAUGCCUCUAAGCACUCCUUAGGCGCUGGAUGAUGCAAUGCACAAUACAACAAACAUCCUAUUUAAAAGUGCUCCCCACACGGAAGCUUUUGUUUUUAAACUCUAAUUCAUUCAUUCAUAAAAACCAUUCGAAAACCUUUUUAAAACUGUUUCCCACACGGAAACUCUAUUUUGAAAACCGACUACCUCGAGGGGUAGAAAACCACGAUGCAUAACUACAAGAAAAUCAAAUCUCCACAAAACCAAAAGCACAGAUCGAAAACUCCAAUCUCAUGUAUAAUAAAACAUCAAUAAUCUCAUGCAUAACGAAAAUCACAACAUUCAAACAUCUAACUGAACCAUUUAUUUAAAUGACUACUAAAGGCGGGAAAGAAAUAACCAGGGUGACGGUCACUACUGCCGUCUAGCUAGAUCGUCCUCUCGUCGAGCCCAAAAUCCAACUCCUCGUCUCUGUCACCUGGGGGGGAAAUGGGGGGUGAGAAACCGCAACCAUGGUUUUCUCAGUGGGUACGACAGAGCCACGAAGGCAAGUUGUAAUCACCGGAAACCAAAGGAGAUAGAUAAACAAAUAUAGAUACUGAUAUAUGAAAACGAACUACAGUAGCUACAACAGAUAAAUAAGAAGCAAUAAACAAACCUGCUACUGUAUAGACAACAAUGCAAAGAAUGCCUCAAAAUACUGAAUAGAAACUGUACCCAAUCUAUGCCUGCUGUAUUGGUCCGCAGACCUCAAGCGCUGCCUGUCACUAACUGCACUGACCUGAUCCAUCCGCCCCGCAAGACGACCUAUCCGGAUAAGUACACCUCCGAUCGGUGGCCAAACCGAUCCGGUGUCAUGAAUACCCCCAAGUGCCGUGACUAAGUCAUGCUGGUAUGCUCAAACAAAAAUAAACCCGGCUAAAGCCGGUACCUAGGCCGAAGCCAACAACGAGGGCGUACAAUGCCAAACUGAAAUAGAAGCUAGGUCGUACAACGCCGAACCUCGAUCAACCAGAUCGAAACACACGACAAGAGAGUCGAUGUGUUGCCUGGACCCAAGGUCCACAGAGAUACUGAAAUACAAAUGCAACCUGCUCUACAUGUCUAUCCACAACUAUACAAUGCAAUCAAGGGGUGCGAUAACCAAACGAUAACAAGCAAUGACAUGUAGAGACUAAAUACAGGAAUAGAAAAACAGGAGAAGGAAGUGAAACGCUCUCACCGACUACCAGCUCGAAGCACCCACCUGUCACUGUCGCGUCGGAACACUGGGUACGCACAGAGUCUACCGGACCUAAGAAGAUCCACCAAAUCAGUAUCCAAACCACUAACCCAAAGCACGAGACUCACAAAUCCCCACACAAGAUUCCCCGAAUCGGUUUCCCAAAACCGAUCCCCGCAACUCACCGGAAGUCCCGAAAAUCACACCGGAACGCCGUCGGGGCCCACUGAGUGCCCCGAAACUCACCGACUCGUGCCACGAGUCACCCGCUGCCCCAAAGCACUCCAAUUUGGAUGCCUUGGCAGCGAACACAAGGUCACACAACAAUACAAUCAUCGCCGGAUAAUCGUACGAAUCCAGGUUCCCGGAAGUGUCUAUUUCGACACCGGAACCCUCCGUCGCUCACCUAUCAUCAUCGAACCCACAAAAUGAUGAUGGUGACCAGCCAACAAGGCUCAGCGACAAAACACGAAGCAACCAAACACCGUCGGAAAGAAUCCAAACCGAAACCGCGUUCUUUCGGCGAAUUUCGUCGAAAAACGCACCGAAAUCGACCUACCGAUUUCCGCGAAAGCUAACGGACCAUGGACAAUCAGUCCAGCGGUCAAUACAAACUCCCACACACUGCCAGCAGUAGCCACGCGAAGCACAAUUGCAUAAAAGACCCUCUAAUUACAUAAAAUAUCAUCAUUUUAUGUAAUUUGAGCGAUCAAGCAGCUCGUUCACGCAAACCGAGGACUUUCAAAGUCCGCAGAGACAUAUACUGACAGGUCUCGACGUACCGGAGUCCGUGCUCAUGAUCCGGAGCACAGCGGCUCGCUGUGGGAAGCGCGGGAGCAACCCGAAGGUUCAGCAAACAGCGCGCAGUCAGUGAAGAUCGCACCGAACAGAACUAACCGGACACUUCUGAUCCACGGGAAGGUGAGCAUUGUGAUCAGCACUGACCAACGAUCACCGUGCUCACCUCCGGAGGCAUCAGGACAGCCUCGGAUCGCCGGAUAAGCGUGCGCAAGCCCAAAACAGCAGCCAAAAAGGCUGAAACGGAGCGACAUCGCCAAAACAGCGGAACGGAGUCUCCCCGACAGAAACUAAGGUGAGCACGAUGAUCAGCAACUAGCUACGAUCAUCGUGCUCCCUUCCGUACAGAUCGGGGAGGUUCAGGAAGCUCAGAAACAAAAACCCACUCAAAUAAGCUCUAUUUCGGGCUUGGCCGGAGCAACCUUGCUCCGACCGGCCUCCGGCGGCACGGCGGCGCGCGCGGGGCCCUGAGUCGGGUGAGGGGGAGGUGAGGAACACGGUGCUCACCUCAGACAGCGGCUGGAAGCGGCGGCGGCGACGGCGGAGCAAGACAAGCCCGCACGGCUAGGGCACGGGUUCCGCGGGCACCUGCGGCCACGGCGGCGGUCGGGGAGCUCCGAGACGGCGGAGGCGGGCUACAGGAGGUCGGGGGAGGGUGGCACAGGUGGCUCAGGGCGGCGGCGGCGCGAGGAAGAGGCCGCACAUAGCUUCAGCUCGGGCUCGGGUUGGGCGGCUGCAGCCGGCCGAGGCGGCGGCGGCGGCGCGCUGGGGCGGCGGCGACCGGCGGGAAGGGGUGCCGGGGCUCCGUGGACGGCGGCGGGAGAGUUUCCAUGCGGCGGCGGCGCGCUGGUGGCUGCGGCAACCCGGCUCGGCCAGGCUCGGCCUGGGCUGCCGCAGGCGGCUGGAGCGGCUGCGGCGGCGCAGGCCACGGCGCCGGUCGGCGGGGAUGAACGCCGGAGCACGGGGCGACACUGAGGGAGGGUCCGAAGGAGGUGCAGUCCCGGGCCUCCACACAACCCGAGAGGAGAGAGGGAGAGAGAAAGAGAGGGAGAGGGAGGAGGGUGGUGGCUGCCGCGGUGGUUGGCCGGCCGGGGCUCGGUCGGCGGUGGCCUGGGCGCGCGCAGCAGGUGCAGGGGAAGGAGAGGGAGGCUGCUGGGGGCUAGGGCAUGGCUAGGUUAGGGUUAGAUGACUCCAAACCCUAGAAAACGACUAUAUAUACAAGGUACAACUUGCAAGAAAGCCCCUCAAACAUCAGAUAUUCAAUCCGAGUCUCUCACAGUGUGUGUAAAACACGCGAACACCCCUCUACGAGCGAUCCCACGCGAAACGGUACAUAAAAUAUCGCGACUUUCGCGAAAAUACCGUUUUGCCACUACCGACCUCUCCUCGAUCAACGCGCGAUCUCCGCAGAUCCGUCCGUCAGAUUCGCGAACGGAUUGCACCAGUGCGAUCAGCACAACGGAGACAACAAAGCUACGAUUUUGUUUCGUCUUGAUCGACCACGGAUUCACGACAAAAUCCAACCUUCUUCGAAUAGAAGGAAACACACACGUAAAUACAUAUAAAACAUGUAUUUUUGGAUUUUCUCGAAAUCCGUGCAUCAAACUCAAAAUCCGUCAGCGUCAUUAGUUCCAGAAUAGCUGACCCGGUCGAAACGAGCUAUUGGACUGCUAUGAACAGAGUCCGGUACGAGCCAGAAGCCAACUUCUCACCGUGGCUUCUCCGGAAAAUCGAGUUACUAUUCACUUUAAGUGAAACUUGGAAAUCGCGUAGAAUUUCCGUUUUAACUCGUUUUCGCCCGAAACUUGACGAAUGCUUUUGUAAUUAAAUUACACACAAAAACAUCGUCAACUGAGAGUUUAGCUACACUGCAAAAAUCUCAGUCCUUACAGUUUCUUCCUAGAUAGGUUAACCACUUGGAAAAGAUGUUGAUAUGGAUUUGGUGUUGACAGCUUGAGAGAUUGGUGUUGUUGGUGCAGCCGAAAUGCAAAGGUGGAUCAUUUGAUGCAGUGAAUGAGUUAAUUCAGCAUCCAGUUGAGGUAAGGUCAUUUCAUAUGGGAUUAGUCAGAUUAAUUGCUUUAAAAUGGAUCGAACUGAGAGCUUUGCUGCUGGAAAUUUCAGAUUGGAGCUGAAAUGGUUAGAGUUAUUGAGUAGUAAGUCCAGUUGAGAAGAGAACCUUAAAGAAGUCCCAAUUUCUGGUAAUUGAUACUAAUUCCUGAUCGAUUAUGGUUAAUUGCUUUGAAGGUAAUUCUAAGCAAUUAAAGUUAAUGCAGGAAUGGUGAUUAAUGGAGAAUUACUCCUGGACUGCAACAAAAGGACCAACUGGAAGCUUCAGCUGAAGAAAUCUGAAACCUAAGGAAACUAAGUGUAAACUAGAGGAGAGAAAGGACUCGGAGCAUUGAGUUGUUGCUGCAGGACAGCAAGAAAGAUCCUUGGAUCUGAGAUUAAUUCGAGGAAGCUUAAUCACAGGUGAGAUUAAGAUAGCUCUGGGUUAGUAAGUGUUAAUUACUAUAGAAGUAUUUAUAAGAGUAUGAGUGCAUUUGCUGUCUAGAGCCUGAUAAAGAAGCAGAUUUCAGCAUUAACUUAGCAUGAAAAUUGAUUGCUGAAUGCUGAGAAUGCAGCAUGAGACUAGAUUUCAGCCUAAUGCUGAAAUCAGCAUUGAGAUGAUAUACAUAUGUAAAUGAUAGUAUAUGCAUACACAUAAAUACUUGGAAUUGAAAGGCUAACUCGCAAAAUAUGAGAUAUGACUCAAGUUUAAUCUCUUAAAUGAAAAGUAAACUUGCCCAAAAGUCUAAAUUGACAUUCCGACAGGUCGACGACGCGCUGAUUACGGUAGAGACCGUUCUAGUGCUAGUUGCACUGAGUCGCGAGAGAUAGUUGUCGACGCAUUCCGAGACAUUGAUCUUAGUUGAUUGACACCACUUCAGGUGGGUGGUGCUAUCCGAAGUCUUUGAAUCAUCUUUUAUGUCUAUGAUAAUUCAUUGAGCAUAUGUAUAUUUGUAGUCAUGCAUCAUAGGGUAUUGGCAUCGUACAAGUGAUCAUUGAAUAUCUGAAUUCUUAUCAAUUGUAAGAACAUAUGAACAUUAGAAUGUGGACAUAGAACCCUAUGAAUAUAUAGACUAUAACAAUAGUAAACUUGGUGACAUUCUAACUAGAGAUUUGAUUAGCAUUGAGAAAUAAAAUUGUGAAACUAGCAUAAAGAGCUAGUUAGAGUUAAAGUAUGACAUUGUCUAUUGUUGAAUCCUCUAAAGGAGGAUCAGAUCAUGCUCACAUUCGUUUGGUUCAAGGUAGGUCGCUCCUCCUUGAACGAUGAGCUCCGGAGUAGUCAUCUUUAUUGGACCAGGAGGUGCGUCUCCCCCAGUUGACAGUCCCGUCGGGUGUAGCUUGCGUCUCCCCGAUACUUGGGAUAGUGUCAGUGAGUUAUUGUUAACCAAAGGGUUAACCAAUGGAUUGGGCAAUUUCAGUAAAGCAUGCAUGCAUAUUUACAGUUUUCAUAUAUUGCUUCUUUCAGCUUUGUACAGGCAUUGUAGUAGUUACAUGUUAUAGUUGGUUACUAUCUGUUUACUUCUUUUGCCUACAUAUGCCUGAAUAGACCUAGUGGGUGAGUCGGCGAGGUCGGCAGCCGAACCCACUGGGAACUUUCAGUAGUUCUCAUACCACUAACCAUACAGAUUCCAGUGCGAGCGGUGUGGCCGAGGACCGUGGCAAGAGCC
rnacentral:lncRNA from 1 species